rnacentral:lncRNA from 1 species
UUUAUCUGUCCUAGAUAAGAUUAUUUUUAUUUCUCCCAUUUUUUUCAAAAUAAGUUUAUUUUAGCAAUCAUUGUAUUAAUGUUUGUGAAAGUAGAGGAUAAAUAGUGAUUUGAUAAAUUGAUGGAUAUUAUAGUGUGUUUUUUUUGGUUUUGUAUGUUGAUACGUGUAAGAUGAUGAAAAUAAACUUGUUUGAGGAUCGAGGGAGAGUAGCUAGCAUUGGACCUAACAACUAACUAACUGGAGAUCCAGGCUCAUCUCAAUCCAAUCUUCCAACAUUCUCUUCCACACGAUGCAUUUGCUAUGUUGCAUGAAAAGUCACAAGGUUCACAUCCAUAUAUAUGUCGAUAUGAUAUGUCUCUCUCCAUGCAUAUAUAUGCACCCUUUAUUCUCCAACUAGGAAGGUAGCCCGCGUAGUUGCGCGGGCAUCUUAUUUAAAUUUUUUUAUUAGGAUUUUGAAUAUUAUGACUUUGUCUCUCGGUGAAAGAAUUUGAAGGUUCCUUUAUAACACAUGAUUGAAAAAAAAUAUAAAUGUCGGAAAUAGGUUAGAAAUGCACGUGUAAAACAACGAAUAAACGAAUUUUGGAUAGAGUACAGAAAUAACAUUAAUUUUAAAAUUUGUUAACCCACAUAGAUGAAAUCAUCAUCUUUCAUUGCAUAAAUAAACUGCAGUUAACCAAACAACCUUUGCAUUAGCAGCUUGAUUUUCUAGAUCCCAUGCGAAGGAAAAAAACAUGCGCAUGCAUCUUAUUUCUAUUUUAUUAAUUUCUUUGCUAUAGAGAUAUAUGAUAACUUGUUGGAUAUCAGCUAAGCUAAUCGUUAGGUGCACCGUGCAUGGAUACCUCAUAAGCAAUAUGAUUUAGAGAUUACUAGAUAGUGAUAGUGUGGAUAUACCUCGUAAGUUAUAAUUGAUCAAGUAUAUUGUAUACUACAUAUUAAGUGUUUUAGUAGCUUUCUAAAGAGCUUAUCGGAGUGGCUACUCCCAUAUCCUAUAUAUCUAUAAAGUUCAUCCCCACUAAGUGUAGGUAAUUAAUGCUAAUUUCUCUUCUCUCAUGAAGGCGCAUCACCUUAAUUGUUUUUAGCCCUUGGAUGAUUCAUCAAGGGUGCAAAUUGCAUCUCUUCUCCCCAAAAGCCACACCAUACAACUCAACCAUUUAUAACUUUUGAAUAAUUGAUCAAGGUACAAAAUAUACAAGCACAUGAAAGAAAAUCAUAUAGUAAGAUAUUUUUUCUACUACUCAUAUCUACUAUUUUAUCACACAAUUCUCCCGCAACAAUGCGUGGGGUACCCAUAUAGUUCAUAGUGUUAUAUUUUAUCUUUUUCUGAUAAUUUCUAUUAUUUUCUCUAAUUUAUUAUAGUAUCAUGUAUAAGUUUAAGAGUUUUAGUAAGAUGUUUAAUGGACUUAAACUUUCCUCUGUUUAUUUUUGCAUGGUAUCAGUAGGAUACGAAUUUUUUCAUCAGACUUACUAUAAUGUAUUCGUGCAAAUUAAAAGACGGUAUAGUGAUGCAAUCAAUAGGAAUCCCAAUCACACACUUUUUUUUCCUAUGAUCCAAAGGAGGUUUGAAUUUUAAUUUUAAAUACAAACUAUAGUUUUGAGCUGAGUUCAAACUUUUUAACGGCGUAUUGCUUUUUCGAUUUCACAAAGAAAACAAAAAGAAAAAGAGGAACAUGGGACCUGUGUGGGUACAUACUUAUUUGCACCUAGAAGUGAGGACUUUUAGAGAUAAAUUAAAUUGGUAGUUUUUUAAGAUAGAUUCAAUGGAUAAAACAAUGGUCUACCAAAAUAAAUGAAAACCAACGGUUAAAUGCUUUUUUUCUUAGAAUUUAUGUGAUUUAUUAUGGCGCUACGUGGUAGCUUAGAAACAUUUAUAGGGAUGCUAUGUGACGGCUUAGAACCGUUUAUAGAGAUGCUAUAUGGCGGCUUAUAGUAGUGUUUAUACGAAGUUUAUUGGACUUUUAUUAUAUGAUUAAUAGAUAGAUAGAUGGGUAGAUUGUCAGAAAUAAAAAGAAUUGAGCUGAGCAUAAAACCAACAUAUAUUUUUUUUUAAAGUUAAUACCUGCAAGGAUGCGCGCAUGCAUGCAAACCCUCCAUGAAGAGGACAUCGACAGAUGUAACCAUGGAAGUCUAUAUUUAAUUGAAGAUAUAAAUCAAAUGCUUUUAAUAUUUUAUUAUGCUUUAGCUCUCAACAACUUAGGGAAAAAAAAGAACAGAUGGUAUAUAUACAUGCUUGAGCGGUGAGCAGAUUGCCGGAUUGGACGUUUAACGUUUUAUAUGUUAGCUGUUAAUUUUUCUUUUCAAUCUGUAAUUUUUUUUUGGUUUUUAUAUUUUUUAUUUCGAUCUUUUUUACUCCCUCCGUCCCACAAUAUAAGGGAUUUUGAGUUUUUGCUUGCAACGUUUGACCACUCGUCUUAUUCAAAUUUUUUUUGCAAAUAUAAAAAACGAAAAGUUGUGUUUAAAGUACCGUGGAUAAUAAAGUAAGUCACAAAUAAAAUAAAUAAUAAUUUUAAAAAAAUUUUAAUAAGACGAGUGGUCAAACGUUGCAAGCAAAAACUCAAAAUCCCUUAUAUUCUGGGACGGAGGAAGUAUCACUUUCGGAUGGAUCUUCUUUUCGGAUGUAUUUUCUCUCAUAUAGAAACGGUAUAUUAGAUGUGAGAGAUUAUAUUUUAUUGGAUCUAAUAAUCUAAUGGUCCAAAAUAACGGAUCACAGUUUAAGUGUUAGACAUUUGACUUUUUUUCUUAGAAUUCUCUAAUUUAUUAUCGCGUCACAUGGCAAUGUACGUAUGAGCGCUCGUAGAAAGCCACGUAACGACUUGAGUGUUUGUAGAAAGUUUAAUAGACUUUUAGUAUAUAAUAGAUAUAUUGUGAUACACGAUGUUUAAUUUAAUAGAUAUUUAUUAUUUGCUAGCUAGAAAUUAAGGAGGCCAAAGUGAGCAAGGAGAGAGGACGUGAAACUAUUUGCGACAACAUGACAGUAUAUGUUAUUAAUUUUUGCUAUUUAUAGGAAUUUUUGUCAAACGAUGUAUUUCUUAUAUAUCAAAACACAUGGCUAAUAUAGAUAAAUAGAAUAUGUUGUAAAAAAUUAUAAUUAUUUAGUUAUCUAAUUAUUUUUUAUAUAAUAAAAUUAUUAUCUAAAAAAUUAGAAGAUGGAUGGAACGAAGAAAAGAGAGGUUGAGGGAGGAACGUACGUAUACGUACGUACAUGUACGUGCUUUACAUUUUACGUGAGGAGUGGAGGCCCAUAAGGGGAGCGGGAGAGGAUGGGAUUUUGGUUUCUUUUGUUUAAUAUAGAUCUAAUGGUGCAAAAUAAUGGACCCGCUAUAUAUUAAGUAAAAAUCGAGGGUAAGAUGUUUUGCUUUUUUUUCUAGAAUUUCUUGGAUUUCUCUAAUUUAUUAGAGCGUCAAGUGGCGGCUUGGGAGCGUUUGUAGGAAGUUUAAUGGACUCUUAGUAUAUAAUAGAUAGAUUCCUUUCAACCUUUUCCUUUCUUUCUCUAGCCUCUAGGGCAGGAAUUGUAGAAUGCAUGUGACACCUUCUCUUCUUUAGGAGAUGUACAAUGGAGUUUGUUCUACUGGUCACCUGCUUCUAUCUAGCUUUCCUGAUGCCUUCACCAUCACACCAACUCACCCGAUUCUGAGAAACUUCAAAGAGCAAAGAGCAAAGUGGCAUGUUUUGAUGCUUCCAUGUAUAUUUAAUUCUUCUGUCGGAUAGUUUAGUUAAACAGUUGUGUACUAGUGCUUAAUAGCUCGGCCCAAUGAGGGGGCUUUCUUUAGUUAAAGCACUUGGGAUGUCAUUAGUUCCUGUCUUUGUAGAUCUUGACCAGAAAGAACACUCUAUAGUUCUUCUCCUAACACCAAAAGCUAUUUAAUGACUUUGUUCUAAAUUCUUCUUAUGGGCUCCUUUGGAUGCAGGGGGAGGAAACCCCCGGGAAAAAGUCCCGUACAGGGAUUUUCCCCUGCACCAACCGAUCCCCUUCCAUCUCCAGGGAAAUCACUCCUGUUAGGGUAAUUUUCCCUGCUACCAUUUGGGAGUAGGGGGAGGGGGUUGAUGGGGGAAGGGGGAUUUAGACAGGCAAACUGCUAAACAGUGUUUGAACAACAAAACAUGUCUCUAGAAAUAUUAUAGAAAUUUCAGGAAAAAUAAAAAGAAUAUAGAAAAUCCAUAUAAAUAGGAAACAACCUACAAAAAUUCCAGAAAAAAUAUAAAAACAUAAAAAAAUCAACAAGUAUUAGAAAUUCAGAAAAAUACAAAGAAAUAUAGAUGAGUUUAUGUGGAAACCAACUUCGUGACAUGACAUAAGUUAAACUUUAGAAUCAUCCAUAUCAUACAAAAUUUAAAAUCUUUGGAAUCAUCCUUGCAUCCACAAAUAUAGAACUGUACAUCAUAUUUAUACAGGGUUACAAUGUCUUGAGCAAGAAUGAGACAUGGGUCCAUUUAAAUCUUUAUCCCUUCUAUCUUCUUCAUCAUCUCUUCUACAAAUCUUCAUAUGUUCUAAUAAAUCUGCCAGGAUGAAAAAGAUAAUCUGAAAUUUAAGUAAUAAAUAUAAAAUUUGAAGGACGGCCAUUGAUACUAGCUUAGGAAAAAAAAUGCAUGCACAUCAACCAACAUAUUGCAAUUGUCAGCUACAUCAGCGUAAACAAACUCUUGGUAUAAGCACUUUCUUUUUAGAUCAAACACCCUACAUGCAGAUACACACCAUUAUUUUUAAAUCAAACACAUUUGAAGUCCAUGUUUUUGUAUUGAUAGUUUUCCAACAAUACUCUAUUUCAAGUCCAUAUUUGAAAGUAAGUUGAGCAUGCAAUUCAAAUUGAAUCCUGGCAAGAGGAAGAAUGCAAGAGCACAAUUAUGAAUUAUCAUUAUGGACAUGAUAAGGAAAAAAAGUAGUAGUAGUAGUAGUUGUUGUUUUAAUUAAUCAGUACUACUAGGUCACUUUGUUUGGCCAGUAUAUUGUGCAGUGAGUGAGAGAAAGGAGAUUGAAAUAUCUGUGUGUGCGUGUCUUUGUAUAUAGGUUGCUGCCAAAGCUUGUGUUUUUUGAAUGCACAAUGCCACCUUGCUCAUUUUCUGCUGGUGAUACAUGACAUGAAACUAAAGUUUGGACUAAUGUAUAAGUAUAGAGCAUAAAAGACUUCAUUUUGUAGUAAGUAUGAGUUCCUAUCAAAAAUAUGAUUGUUACCAUUUAUUUAGUCCCAACAUGCAUGCCAAAUUGACCACUAAUUCUACAGUUCCCUGAUAGAGACUACAAGAAUGGAUCGGACUAAAAAAUGCCUCCAGAAAAAACAAAAAACUUGAUGCUAGCAGCUCAACCAGUACUGAGAUCUACCUCUAGGUUAAUAGAGCUGACAACAUCCAACUAAAAGAACUGCAUCUCUAAUUAACUGCAAAAAACUAUUACUGGUUUGCAGACUAAAAUUUCUCAUAUACCUCACUAGUUGAAUGAUACUCACUGCAUGUGUGAUAAUUCCUCAUUUCUUAGGACUGGCACAUUGAUCUCACAUAUUUAGACUGCACUAAGCAUGAUAAUUACACUGCAGAAAAAACCAGAGCACAACCUAUUCCAUCAAAUUAGAACAUCAUCUUACCAAAACUCAUUCAUGAUCUAAAACAAGAUCACCAUACGCCCACCCAUAUCCCCUUCUGAAUCGCUUCCAUAACAAAAUGAAAUGCUACUGCAGGGUACAAUACUACAAUGUAUUAGAAAGAACAGGAGAACAGAUUACAACUCUCCCAAACCAAAUCAAGAAACAUACCAUACAUACACCAAGAAAACUGAAGUACUGAACGAACCCCCAAGAAUCAAGCAGCAGCUACAAGGGCACGCACAAACCUAGCCGGGCAACCGCCGGCGGGCGUCGCGCAACGAGGAGGAGGCGGAUCUGCGCCUCAGCGCCUCCUCUGCCGGUGAGUCGCGCCGCCUUGGAUCCCCCCUGUCCCCGCCUGCUUGGAGCCGUGUGCCCGCGCUGCCGGCGCGCCGCCUCGUCGGCGUUGAACCGGCUGCCGCGGUGCCACCCGCCGCGCCCACGCGUCGGUGCUUGCGAUGCAAGCGCUGAGACCGGAGAGCGAGAUUGGGAGAUAACUAGAGGAGGCGGAAACCCUAGAGGAGGAGGAGAACGGAAACCCUAGGAGGAGGAAAGGAGGGGAAUAAGGAGAAGGGCUUACCCUUCUCGCCGGAGGAGGAGUCCCGGCGGUGGCGUGUCUCGCCGGAGAAGGAGACGCGGCGGCGCCCGCUGUUGUUCGCGUGAGAGAGAAGCGACUCUGGUUGCGCGAGCGAGAAGCAGCGGCGGAUCGAGAGAGGAAAAAUUCCCGACCACCGGAGGUCGGGGACCUUUCCCUAGGGUUUCCCCGCGGAUUGGGCCGAGAAAUCCCUGCCUCGUGGGCUUCCAAAUGGACAUGGAAUAAAACCCGUGACAAUUUCUCCCGCGGGCCUUUCUCCCAGGGAAUGGGCUGGGAUCCCGGUGGGAUCCCGGGCUGCCAAAGGAGCCCUAUGUGUGGUAGGAAUCUACUUGGGAUCAAUUGGUUAAGGGUAUUGGUUUCUUUCUUACAGCUAGUUAGGCCUAAUUUGAUUUAAGAUUAUCGAGCAGAUUAUUGCCAUGAAUCAUAUACUUUAUUAUACGGAUAAAUUAAAUAUUUUAAUAAAUAAACUUAUAACAAACAACCUAAAACAAAUUGAACUUAGCAAUGUAGUAGAAGAAAGCCUUUUAAGAAAAAUAUAUAUGUUUCGGGGCAUAGAGAAAACAAUCUGGUUUUAUAAUUCGGUGAAUAAUCUGAAAAAUAAUAAUUUGGUCUUAAUACUAAAUUGUAGUUUUCUAUGUUUCUAAUCACAUACUUAUAUGAGUAUAUGGUUGAAAAUAGCUUAUGACUAUUAUAGUUCUAGACUACAUUGUCUAACAAAAUAUGUUCGUCUGCAUGACAAAGAACAUCAUAGCCCGUUUCAACUUCAGAAUUAUUCUAGACUAGGUUCUUAUAUAGAAACCGAACAAAUUUCUAUGAAUUUUUAAACUUUUUGUUAAAAUUUCCAUGUGAAUUUUGGAUUAAGUAACUGCUCUAGUUGAAUAAAACCCCUACCAAAAAUCUACUAACACCGCCAAACUCUAUCUGUCCCAAAAUAUAAGGGAUUUUAGAGGGAUGUAACACAUCCUAGUAUCCAGAUUCGUAGUAAGGAUGUGUCACAUCCCUCCAAAAUCUCUUAUAUUUUGGAAUGGAAGCAGUAUAAUAUAAGGAGUUUUACGGUUAAACACAAGUAUUACUAUUAAGAAAAUAUGUAGAAUUAAAUGUGUGAAGGUUGUUAUUUAUUUAGAAGAAAAUAUAUGCGAAAAAAUUAUUAUAAUUUAGAACAAAUGUUAAAUAUUCAAAGCUGUUAUAUUUUAGGACGGAGAAAGCCGAGAAGAGGAACUCUGUUCACCCUGCUUUGCAAAAUACACUCGAGAAGAAUCUAAUGGUCAAUCUCAUAGUGUUUCCUAUUCUCUUUUUGAGGACCAUAGAUAUGCAAUCAUAGGAGCACGGUGGAGAGAGAGAGAUCAGAUCAGAGGAAUAUGAGAUCACACAGAAAAGAACUACUCCCAUAGGGGUAAGCUUAGACAGGAUAAUACCGGACCGGACAAAAAAGGCUCGGAAAAAAAGGCGCCAAGCAUCGCAUCGCAUCACAUCGAGCCAAUUCACAGGGCGUCGCAAACCGGAGAUUCCUAAUCUUAAACAUCUCCAGUUUUUGCUCUUCUUUUGUUUUUGGGCCCAAUGGAGGAAGGAACUAAUGUGGAUUGGACUUGCAAUCAAUAGGCCCAUCAAAUGGAAAGUAAAAGGGGAAAUGUAUAAAUUGGAAUAUUUCAUGCAAAGCCGAUGUGGAUGCUAGUAAGGGCAAUAGCAGCACACCACAUAUUUUUACCUGUCCUCACAUGCCACAUAAACUAAGAAUUGUAUUUGCUACAUGCUCCAUAGUGCAGGUCACUUGGGGGGAGGCUAAUGGGCGAUCGAUCAGCGAUCGGUUUGCCCCGUCUCCCCCUAUACUCCUCCCUCUUCUCCCCCUUCCUCCUCCCCUUCUCUUUCUACUACAGUACACCACACAAUUUUUUUAAAAAAACAAAAGUUAGAAAAAAAUUAUGUAUAGAAAUACUAUAUAUAAAAAAAAUAUGAAUUCAAAUUCAAAUUUGAAUCGGGUAUGUAAACUUUUGACUUAUAAACUUUGGGUCUAUAAACUUUAGGUGUAUAAACUUUAGAUGUAUAGAAAUACUAUAUAUAGAAAAUAUUUGAAUUCAAAUUCAAAUUUGAAUCGGAUAUAAUUCAAAUUCAAAUUUGAAUCGGGUAUGUAAACUUUUGACUUAUAAACUUUGGAUCUAUAAACUUUAGGUGUAUAAACUUUAGAUGUAUAGAAAUACUAUAUAUAGAAAAUAUUUGAAUUCAAAUUCAAAUUUGAAUCAGAUAUAAUUCAAAUUCAAAUUUGAAACAGGUAUAUAAACUUUUGACUUAUAAACUUUAGAUCUAUAAACUUUAGGUGUAUAAACUUUAGGUCUAUAAACUUUAGAUGUAUAGAAAUACUAUAUAUAAAAAAAAUAUUUGAAUUCAAAUUCAAAUUUGAAUCGGAUAUAUAAACUUUUGACUUAUAAACUUUUGGUCUGUAAACUUUAGAUGUGUAAACUUGAGGUAUAUAAACUUUAGGUGUAUAAAUUUACUAAAAUAGGAAAAUAAUAUGGUGCCAAAAAGGAAACCAGGUGGAGGGGUGGAGGGAGGGAGGGGGGAGGGGAUCGAUCACUGAUCCAUCCCCAGGGCGAUCGGUCGCCAAACAGGAUUUCCGGGUCACUUGUGGUGGAUCCCACCACUAUCUUUCCUUCACUUUUCUUCCCCCCCCCCUCCUCUCUCAGCGCCUUUUCCCUGGUGGAGAAGAAGCGAGGCGGCAGCGCGGCUGAAGCAGCGAUGGCGCUGGUGGUGCAGCCCAAGUGGGGGGGCGGCGUGGCAGGAGCUCGCCGGCGUGUGAGCGGGGGAUGGUGCAGCGGGAGCUCAGCAGGGCACGAACUGGGGACGACGUGGCCCUCUUCGUCGAGCUGCCGCUGCUGUGGUCCUUGGCGGCGCGAAGCAGCGAAGACAACGAGGUUAGGUCAUCAAAUCUGUCGCCUCCUCUUCCUGACUUCCUCCGCCGCCGCCAUCUUCCCUUCUUCUCCCUAUGCCACCACCAUCAUCUUCCUUCUCCUCCCUAGGCCGCCGCCGCUGCCCCGUCGAGCUCACCAGAUCCGGCCUUGGGUUCGCUGGAUCUGGCGAGCAACACCAUUUUGGGGGUGACGCACCUGCUCAGGGUGAUGGCCUCGCUAGCGGCCGCCGCUUCGCACAGGAUGUGGGGCCGUUGCAUGGGGCUACUUCCUCUCUAAAUGCGCUGCUCCACCAGCGCCUCGCCCCGCACCUGCAACCUCUGACAAAGACGCGUGACUUAUUUUGGCUCCGCGGUCUUGAGUUGGGAAUACCACGCAUGCAUCUGGCGAGGAAUCUUCUACGUGGAUGCAUGGUUGGGGCAUAACACCACCUCAGUACACUGUGAACGCCCUAAAAACUAGAAAGUUAAUAAAUGUAGGGAAUGUCCAUGUAACAUUUUUAAGAAAACUCCCUCGUCUCAAUCACUUUUAGAUGGUCCAGAUCAUAUGCCAAGAUUGUGUAUAGCUACAGCACCACCUAUACUUUUCUUCCCUCUCCUCUCUCAUUCCUCUUGUGAGUAGCAACGCUCUGCUGAGCCACAUGCCUCUUCCUCAAUCCGUGUUACGGUCUUCUCUGCCCACCGCGCCACCCCCGUACCUUGUUAUCGAGGCUCCGUUAGCUGUCCUCCUCUCUCUUGUUCCUUCUCCAAAGUCGGAUGGUAAGGUAUUGUUGUGCCUGUCUUCUCUCUCAUCGCCGUUGGAGAUGCCUCCACCGUCCUUGUCUCCUAACCACUUUACAUCUAACGUCUUUGCUGCUGAUUCUGCCUAUUGAUAGUCUGACUGUUAGUGACUGUUAUCAUGGCCAUCCCUUUUUAAGCUAGGGGAAAUCCUCUCUUCCCCCUUCCCCAACUCUCUUACCUAAUAUGUGUAAAAAAAAAACUCCCUUACCUAAUCUCAACCCUAAACCCUGAUAUGUAGGUCCUUUGCUGAAGUUAGGGUAUCGCUGAUGCCUGAGUAGAGGGGAAGCUUGACAAAGCUGGAGAAAAAGGAGCUAGCACAAAUCUUGGCACAUAUCCGAUGGACCAGAAUCUGUAAGAUUUAGCAAAUCCGAUAAUGGUAAAUGGAAAUACUCACCCCCUCUGAUAAAAAAAAUAUAUUUGUUUUACUUUCUCCGUUCAAACUGUAGAAACUUUAGCUAUCAGUAAACCUUGAAAUACUUAGAUUAAAAUAUAAAGAUUUAUGUGUAGGUUUGUCUUGAAAAUUAUUUUUUAUAACUUUAUAUAUGUAUUUUAAUAAAAAAAAUUAUGGACAAAAUUACAUCUCGAAAGGUUAAGCCAUAAUGUUUACAAAUAAAACGGCAAUUUUGGUUAUGCUCUGUGGCAUAAAGGUUAAAAGAGAAGAAGAGAGAAUCAACUUUAUCCAUUAGUAAAUUUUUUUAGGUUGUAGUUUUAUUCUUAAAAAGACACAAUAGCUUUGGGAAAGCAACAAUGGGAAUGUUUGGUUGAAACAAAUGAUUUCCCUUAGCCCUUUUGUCUUUAACACUAGCAGAAUAUAAAUUAAUUACCUCCAGUUCAGCCAUUGCGAAGACGAGACUAGUUCCAGUGUCUAAAUAUUCUUGAACCUUAUCAUGCAUUACUUUCAGUUUGGUAAAUCUUUUUCAUGGCGGCAAGCGGAUAAUUUUCCGAAUCUUCUCAGGAUGCCCAACAAACAAUUUCAGCACGCAACCUUAUUCAGAUUCUGAUACAGUGUGAUGAACACAAUGGACUAGAGUCAAUAAAGAUCCAACUCAUGCACAAAAUUGCCACUACUACAGCUCUAUCACCAAUAUAUACACAGCAAUUGCGAUAGCAACAGAUCGACAGGCCGAUAGAAAGAUCAGCUCAACACAAGACUGCUCAGAAAACCAAUGCACACUUCUUCUGUGCAGUGUUCUCUGCACUUGCUGGCCAAUGUAUCCUGAUUCAUCAAUCAUCUACAUCUUUUGUCAGGAUAUAUAUAUAUAUAUAUAUAUAUAUAUAUAUAUAUAUAUAUAUAUAUAUAUAUAUAUAUAUAUAUAUAUAUAUAUAUAUAUAUAUAUAUAUAUACAUGAAGGUAUAUGAACAUGGGCUAUUUCUACAUUUCUACAACCAAAUGUGAUGAUGGACCAUAUCAUACUAGGCAGAUCAUUCCAACCUCUACAGUUGAAACAUGAGGUAAGUUUACUGCAAACGCAGGGCCCCGGCUGUUCCUUCUCAAGAACUCAUAGCCGAAGUUUAUCACAAUCUGCUUUAUCAGACCAGACCCGCUUUUCGCCUUCAUAUGGGAGCGGCCCGUUAUGAAGGACAUGCCUGCCUCCCUUGCCUCCAUCAGCUCCUGCAGCUCGCCGCGCACCUCCCGGUCUAUCUUUGUGUCCUUUGGAAGUGCAAACCUCACCCUCUUUGGCUUCGGUGCCGUCGUGUUUGGAUUUAUCUCCUUAUGAGCAGAUGAUCCUGUUGAAUCUGAUCCAUCAAACUCACCUUCCUCCUCCUCAAGUGGAAGGCCUUUACUGAUGAAAGAUAGCCCCUCACAUGAAUGGCUUGCGCCGUCCAUAAAACUGUUUUGGUUAGAGUCCGCACAGCGGAUGAACUCUGCAAUACUGCUGACUAGAUCCUUCUCAAACUCUACAUCAUCCUUCUGUACAUCACGGUAACCAUACCGGACAAUCACUCUGUAUAUCCUAUACUUUUUUGGGCCAAUGCGGCCAACCAAAAAUCGCUCCUCAGGCUGAACGUGUGGUACGGAUACUGAUUUAAUGCAUAGAAACACCAGAACCUGAAGAAAAAAAAAUAUUUUUUUGAUUAUUGUAGGAAAUUGGAUUCAGGUAGAUGCGUGUACUGGUUCAUUAAGAUUGUUCUGCAACAUUUGUUUGGUGGAAAUAAAAAUAAUAUACUCCUAGCUUUGACAUUAUAAUAAUGAGACAAUUACAAUAAUUUACCUGAUGAAACGCAGGCAAGUUGGUCACAAAGUGGGAGAAAAUGGCUGGAAUCCCUGACAUAAGCUCUGUGUGUAUCAGACCAAUUCCUCGUACACGAACAAUUCCCAAGGAAGGGCCAAUAUUCAAGAGCCAACUUAUGGAGACCUUGUUUUGCACAUCAAACUCAUACUUCUUUUUAGUUCCAUAGUGCCACACACACAUCACCAUCAUGAAAAUGAAGGAAAGAGUGACAGGUACCCAAGCCCCUUCGUGAAACUUCACAAGUGAAGCCGCGAAGUAGAUUACUUCGAUUGCACCAAAGAAAAGAAGGAAGCUGAGAGCAUAGACAAUGCUCUUGUUCCAGCAAAGAAGAAUAACCAGUGACAUCAAACAUGUCGUGACGAGCAUAACAGUUAUAACUGCAAGCCCUGAACCAAGAAGAAAACAGUCAAACAUGUCAAAUUGCAUACAAACAUACAGGGAAAACAUAAUAUGGUAAAAGAAAGUAUCCUGUUUUAAGAUAACAAAAUCGUAUACUUGUACAAGUUGACCUUUACCUUGUGCGUUUGUCAAGUGCUUUGUGUCUCUGAAGCCUAUAGUUACAGAAAGGCAUAGUAUCAUUAAUAUCCAAUUGAUCUCUGGUAUGUAUAUCUGACCAUGCACUGUAGAGGAUGUAUGCACAAUCUUCACCCUAGGGAAGCAGUUUAAGGACGAACACUGCUUGAUAAUUGAGAAAGUCCCAGUGAUAAUUGCUUGGCUGCCAACUACAGAUGCCAGUAUUGCAAUCCCCAGAACAGGCCAUCUGAUUUUUUCUAGAAAGAGAUUAUUGCAUAAGUAAAUACCAAAGGAGAAUUUGGCUAUGCCAACUAAACUUUAGUCCAUGAGGAUUAAGUAGGCAAAUAAAAAGAGUACCUGGCACUGAUACGUAGAAUCCAAUAUGACUGCCAUCCUCAAAAUUGUGAUGGCGUGAAAUGUAAGCAGCUUGACCCAUAUAGGCCAGUACAAGCGCUGGGUAAACCAAUAGUGUGAAAGCCAUCUGUUGGCAAUAGCAGAAAAGAAGGGGUGGUCAGGAUUUUUAUUUACUUCUUAUAAAGUAGUAGUUGAUGGUGAUGGUGUGUUCUACACCCACCCUCCACUCUAGAGGAUCUUCUGUGAGUCCAUACAUGCACAAAUUUAUAUGUUGUUUGCAAGAUUUUUAUAAAAAGAAAGAUGGGUACUUUAUACUUUAUAUUGAACAGAACUACACAUUAUUUAAACAUUUUAUAGAUGUUCAUCAUAUAAAUAUUCGCCAUAUAUAGUUCAAUAUUCAAAAUAUUUUCCUCACUUUAAAUUCACCUGCUUUGUCUAUCCCAAGUCAAAACAAAAAUAUUUGUUAUUUUCCUUGUAUUACCUAUCUAAUUUAUAUAUAGACUCCAAAGCUCUUUAAUGUUCUUUUUGAAGGAAUGGAAGAAUGGAUUAACACAAAAUGCUUCCCAAGUUGCUAAACGGUGUGAUUUUAGCAAAACAAAAAAAAACUUUCUAUAUAUGAAUUUCUUAAAGAACUGUUUUAAAUCCAUUCUUCAACUUUACCUUUGAUGCAAUAUGUAAGGAAAUAUGAAAUUGGUGUGUUUUUCUAUUUCAGUCUAAUGAUGCGGGUUCGAUUCCUGCUACCCGUUAGAACGUAAUUCAGUUUUCCACUCUUAGUGGCAAAGAAAUGACAGGACAAGUGUCAAAAAAAUUAUGUGAUAUGAUCAUGUUAUGGUCUGGUCAAUGUUAUAAAAUGAUCAUGUCAUACCUUUAUUGAGUUCUGUGUGAAAUGUCCAAGGUCUGCAUACAUAGCUUCAGAGCCUAAGAAUAUCAAAAUUGUCACAAAAGAUCCAGCAUAUCAUCGUUUAUGCAAAACGGCGGAACUGAAUGAUGUAAAACAUCCUAAUUUGUUUCCUUACCGGUUACGCAUAAAAGGAUUCCACCAAGCGACAUCCAACCUCCUGUUUGAGUCUUUCGGAGAAAUUUAUACAUGUAGUAUGGUGAAAGGGCUUGAUACACAUGGGGGUUCCAAUGGAUGAUGUUGUACACCCCUAUGAUGCUGAUGCAGAGAAGCCAUAAGCAAACAAUAGGUGCGAAAAGAAACCCAACCCUGUGUGUGCCGUAGUGUUGCAAGGCGAAUAAGCACACCAGUAUCACGCAUGUUAUUGGAAGCAAUAUAUCUGCAAAAAUCAGCAUCAGAAACACUAAUCAUCAACUAGGUAUUCAGAAAAAAAAAAUGAACAAGUUUUUAGUUUCAAUUCAAUCAGACUCAACAAUCGCCAUUGCACGAUAUCGAAAUGGAAGUUGAAGAAGCAAUUGAACCUACAUUUGUGUUGGUCCUUGUCCAUGGACAACUCCAGCCCGGAAACCGCUGAGAACACUGCAAAAGAGAGUAACAUAGAACAUCAGAUUAUACCAAAAUCAACGCAAUUUGCCAUUUGCAUAGCCAAAAUUCACUCAAAUUGAAAAAAUUGAAAUCCCAGACGAGUAGGGGGAAGUGCUCGACCGGAGACAGCAGGGGUGAGCACGCCGUCGCCGAUGACCAUGCACGUCCCGAGCAGCGCGAGCAGCAGCAGCAGCCUCUGCAGGACACGGUGCCGCUCCAGCGCGGCGCGCACGGCCGACACGGGCGCCGCCGCGGCGCCCGCAGCGUCAAGCUCCUCGCCGGCAGCGGCGGCGGCGCAGGGGGGGAGGAGGCCGGCGCGGACGCGGCGGCAGAUGAGGGAGUAGAGCGCGAAGGUGCCGCCCUCGCCGGCGUCGUCGGCGCGGAGCACGAGGAGGACGUACUUGGCGAGCGGGACGAGGGUGAGCGUCCAGAACACGAGCGAGAGGGCGCCGUAGAUCUCCUCGUUCCCCGCCGAGUGCUCGAUGUCGCCGCCGGCGAACGCGCUCCUGUACACGUACAGCGGCGCCGCCGCCACCUCGCCGUACACCACCCCGAGGCUCUGGUACGCCAGCACCGCCUCCUCCCGCCACCACCACCACCCCCCCUUGCAAUCCACCAUCAAACACCCAUCAAACAUCAAACCAAGAACCCAACCAAAAAGAGAAGAAGAAAAAAAAUGGCGCCCCGCCGCCGCCUCACCUUCCUCCGCGCCGCCGCGCCGCCGCCCUCCACAUCCAUUCCCGCCAAACUCGCUCCCUCAACUUGCCAACUUUGUCUCUCCCAUUGCGACGAAUCGAGAGCGCAGAGGAGAAAGAUUUGAUUUGGUUUUUGCCACGCAAACUACUCCGAUAUAAAUAAUUGGCAAGAUUUCUCUCGGAUGAGAGGACAAGCGGCAGAAGCAAGAGAUUAGCCAAGCAAGCUCUCACUUCCUUCUAGUACAUUCCUUUCCCUGCAAGAACUACUCUACUAAUCCUCUUGUAGCACUUGGUUUGCUUGCUUGAAAUCUUCUUGUCUACUCUGUACUUAUCACCAUAUUUAACAAAUCCAAAUCAGAUAAACACAGCACACCUACUGGGAGAGAGAAAAAAGGAGAGAUCUAGAGAAGAGACACAAGAACUCAAUUCUGUUGCAAUCUCUCACAAAUCAAUCCAAAGGAUCGUUGUAUCCAAAUCCUUCUUCUUCUUUUUUUUUUUUACACAAGAGUGAGACUUUCUACUGCUGGCUACUUAUUAUAGCAGCAGAGGCGUAAAGAUGAUUUGGCAAGAUAACCGUAUCAGGGACAAGUUGAUAGGUGGUUGCUCAUUUUGGGAAGCAGGCGUUUCCUGCCGUGGGUGGGAUCACCGGCUGUGGCUAUCACUACCAGAAAAGAUAGGCUGCUUUUCUCGGGCGCAUUUAACUAUUUACUACUUUUAAUAUGGUGUUUAAUAAUUUAUCACUUAUUAUAUAUCUACAAUAUGUGAACUUCUCGUGUUUUAAUAAUAUAUAAAUCCAGACAAUAAAUUAUUAAAUAUUACUCCCUCCGUUCUAUUUUAAGCGCAGCCAUGAGUUUCUAUGUCUAACUUUAAGCGUCCGUCAUAUUUAAUUUUUUUUUGAAAAAAAAUAAAAAUAUAAGUCAUGCCUAAAGUACUGUUCACAUUUUAUCAUCUAAUAGCAAUAAAAAUACUAAUAAAAAAAUCAAAUAAGACGGACAAUCAAAAUUGGAUACGGAAACGUAUGGGAAAACUCAUGGCUACGCUUAAAAUAGAACGGAGGAAGUAUAUCUAAAAGCAGAAAAAUAUUUAAAUAUCUCUCAUUUCUCCUAUGCUUCCAUUUUGCUUCUACACUGCUGCGGCUACUUAUUUUUCUGCUUUUUUUUUCUGGUCUGAACAUGGGAUCUGAUUCUUCAAAAGGAAAUUGACGUUUCUUGGUAGAAGUCAUCAUUGGUGAACUGCUGAUGUCUGCCGCUAAUUAAGCCUUUCGUCCCAAUUUGAGUGGCAUGCAGUAACAUGUAAAACCUUCGUCGUUGAUGUGGUCCUCUUUAAAUACAACUUUCAUCGAUAAUUUUUCAUCGUUAUAUAUCUAUUAACUUAUUAAAAGAAUAGAAAAAGAAACCUCCACGUUCGCUCUUACGACCUAAAAAUUCUCAUAUUAAUCGGAAAAAAAGAAAAAUAGAGUCCAUAUAGAAAUACAAUUUAGAAAUAGUUGAAGUUCGAAAUUAAAUAAUAAGGAAUAUUGGAAGAGGAGACUAGAGUCCAUAUAGAAAUACAAUUUAGAAAUAACUAAAACUCAUAAUUAAGAAAUAAAGAAUAUUACAAGAACAGUAUAGAGUCUAUAUAGAAAUACAAUUAAGAAAUAAUAGAAAUUCGGAAUUAAAAAUAAGGAAUAUUAGAAGUAGAGUAUAGAGUCCAUAUAGAAAUUUAAAACUAACUAAAAUUCGGAAUAAACAUAAUAAAAUUAAAACUAAAGUUUAGAGUCCGUAUAAAAAUAAUAUUUACAAAUAACUAAAAUUUGAAAUUAAAGAAACAUGGAAAGAAAAGUCUAAAGUCAAUAUAGGAAUACAAUUUAGAAGUAACUGAAAUUCGAAAUUAAAAAUUAAAGAAUAUUGAAAGAUAAGUUUAGAGUCCACAUAGAAAUACAAUUAGAAAUAAUAAAAAUUUAGAAAUAAAAAUAAAUAAUAUUUAAAGAAGAGCCUAGAGUCUAUAAAAAAUACAAUUUAUAGAUAACGAAAAUUUUGAAUUAAAAAACAAGAAGUAUUGAAAGACAAGUCUAGAGUCCAUAUAGGAAUAUAGUUUAGAAAUAAAUAAAAUUUGAUAUUAAAACUAAUUAAUUACUAACACGUAUAUAAAAUAUAAUAUGAAUAUUACACAUUAGUAGUUUCAUAAAGUUAGUACAAAAUUUAAAAUUAUGUUGUCAUUUUAAUAUAUUUUCAUAAUAAAUUAAGAAAACAUAUAUUAAUUGUAUUAUAUAAGAUAAAAUAUAAUGAUGCUAGCCACGCAAUCUGCGUGGGCCACCAUGCUAGUUUUUUUUAAAAAAAACUAGAUUUUAUAGUUAAAUAUUUACAAGAUCAUGAGAACUUUUUUUUAAAAAAAAUAUCAUAUCGUACAUGUUGAAAGUUUUUAAAAAAGUUUAACCAAAUACAGAAAAAUAACUAGCCUAAAAAAUACAGAAAAUACCAAAUAGUAUUUGGUAACUACAUAACCAACCAAUAAAAGAAAAGUAGCACUAUAAAUAAUCUUAUAUAUGGAGACGAUUUUAUAUAUUAGGUUGGAACUCAUGUGGUGCCACCUAAUAACACGUAGGUCACCAUUGUGCAAGUUCAUGGAAAUUUACACGUAGCACUCCACCUCUUUGCGUUCUUCCGACAAAAGUCAAAGAUGAAAUGAGCCAACGAUUUCAUUAGUGAUUUUUCAAACGAUGAAGGGACAACUCUAAACACAACAUAAAAUGUCCCCGUCUAAACUUGACUCCGCAGUUCAUCCAAAAAGUUUAAGUUGACACAGAUGAGUCGUCAUUUCACCUAGCUAAAAGUUUUAACUUGAUAAAGGCGACAUGAUUUAAAUUCACGAACUCUGUCUCUAAUACUAAAGUUGGGUUGAAUCCACGGUACUGCAGAGUUAGAGCAAGUUUAAUAGUAUAGCGCACUGUUAGCUUUAAUUCAUCUAUAUCUAAUCUAAUAGCUCAUUCAUACAAUAGUUAUAUACUACACUAUUAAUAUCUGGUCCCACCUGUCAUACACACACUGUGUCUUGGAGUCCGUGCUACAGUUGGCUUCAAAUCUAUAGCCCGCUGUCUUUCUCUCUUCUUAUUUAUCUUAUUUAUCUGUUUAAAAUAUGUUUGCAGCUGGCAUAUAGCCUGUUAUUGUACCUGCUCUUAUUCAGAAAGCUAGCCUACGAAUAUUAAGAGCAGACAUGCAAUUUCAACAAACACUAGCUAGGCACUUGUGAGUUGUGACAUUUAAGUUGCCAUCUCUCUCCAUCAUAGCAGUUGCUCUCCCUGUACGGCGCUUGCUGGAGUGUGGCCGAAGCUUGAUAAUUAAGCAGAGAUGACGACGUGUGGGUGUGGCCUUGAGGGAGACCACAUGUCCACAUAUACAUACGGAGACAAUGUAAGAUAUAACGAAUUAUUGGCGGUGACCAUAUAUAUAUAAACAACAAAGCAGAUCGACCAAACAAUCAAAACCACAUAAUGGAUCAGCGAUAAUUAAUUACUCCCUCUGUACUUAAAUAUCGAACGCAGUUAACUUUUUUAAAUAUGUUUAACCGUUCGUCUUAUUAAAAUUUUUUGUGAAAUAUGUAAAACUAUAAAUAUACAUAAAAGUAUAUUUAAAAAUAAAUCAAAUGAUAGGAAAAGAAUUAAUAAUUACUUAAAUUUUUUUAAUAAGACGAACGGUCAAACAUAUUUAAAAAAAUUAACAGCGUUAAAUAUUUAGAGACGGAGGGAGUGAUUACUACCGGUGAAAUGGUUGGAUCAUGCAUGCGUGAAUUGAGAACUAUACACACAUAUACUCCAAUGGCAGUGGCCAUUGCAUCGUCAGCACGACGGUAUGGAUAGAUACGGCUUAAUUAGUCAUUAUAUUAGUGGAUCGGUCGAUCCAUUGAUCGAUCAGCUUGUUAGGUAUUAGGUAAGUGUGGUCUGCUGUUUACGCAUCCGGUUCCCGGAUUAAUCAAAUCGCAAAAUCAAAAUAUAAACAAAACGCGAGGCCGGUUUGGGUUCCCGGAUUAAUUAAACAAGCAACAAAUUAAAACGAGGUGUACGUCUGUCUGAAGAACAAACCUACGUUUGAAUCGCUCGCUACUAUACUGUUGCUGUGUCAACGAUGGAUAUGAUCGAUCGAUGCGUCUAUAUAUGUGGUGUGGCAGAAGUAAACGAUCAUGUGGUAACUAAUUUAAUCAUAUAUCGUUUGCUGAUCAUGCUGAUGAUGCUAGUUCUUGUUUAAGAGUAGAACUAGAAGAUCGUCGUACCUCCUGAUUAAUUAAUCUUCAGAAAUUCAGCGUAUUAUCAUAUCUCUGUACUAGCUUGUCUGUCGCCUAGCAUGCAUGCAUGAUAUAUAAUUUCCAUGGAAAUUAGAGGCAGGUUUCUCCAGUGAUUUUUCCCCUUCUAGCCUGCAGGCCACAAAGUUUCAUUUGUACACAUAUCCACCCAAUUCAACAGGCAAUUAAUAACUUCAACAGCUAUUAGCUAGCAUAAAACUUUCCGAGGCAUCUUGAAAGAAAAUUCUACGAAUUGCCUCGUGUAAACAUAUACUCCCUAUCUAGCUAGCUACAACGACUUGGGACUUGAAUUGAACACUAUUGGAGACAGAUGGUUCUAUCGUUUGUCUUUCUUCUCCUUUUGACAAAACAAAAGGUCGUAAUAUUAAUGGACGGCUGGGUAGGUAAACCUGGCCUAUUAGUCCACCAAUCCUAUGGUUAAAAAAAUUCCAUGGAAAAGACGGGGCGACGUAGGCAAAAUUCGGCUCCGGUCACAUCUGGGCACUGUCUUGAUGGGCAGCCAAAGCCAACCGUGUUGCCAUCUCUGUCCCUGUUGCUGGGAGACAAAUCUGUUGUUGUAUCGUUUGUAUAUAGGUGUUGCACCAAGUUCAGACGUCCGAAAGAAAGCUAUGGCGACAGUGAAGAUUCAGACACAAAAGGGGGGGCUGUUGACAUGUCAUAUACUGUGCUGACAAAUUUGUCCUAAUUAAUGAAAAAUUUCUUGUUUUGACCGGUUACUCGGUUGGAUCUCUGAUGAGUGGCCCAAAUUGGUUUUCCAAGGUUUUGACAUGGAAAGUCUUCUAGAGGAACCACACAAGUCCAUCUCAAAAAUUAAUGGUGCCCUAGCCUUCGCACUUCUCUCCCCUAUCCCUUUUUCUGGCAUGUAUAUAUAUAUAUAUGCACUCUUAUUUUUUUUAUCACUAUCAUAGAUAAGGACAUAUAUGACGGUUGAAAAAAGUUCAACAGUGCCAAUGGAUCACCUGUCCUAGACAAUUGGUCGCUUAGGAGUGAGACGCAUUUGUGAUAAUUUACCACUCGUUACUGAUUUACACAUCUAUAACAGGUAGAAAUGGUGAUAUCAAAAGGGAAAAAAAAAUGCCAUCGCCGUGCUAGCUGCCCAUCACUGUCCAGCUCAAUGUCGUCGUCGUCGCCGCCGCCACUAUCACCAUGACACCAUCGUAGUAGAUGCCCGCGCAUCAUCAUCAUGCUCGUAUGGUUACACGCUGCCGUCAUGGUCCUGUCAUCGUAGUUGAGGGAACCUUGCCAUCAUCAUAUCGUCUUCAUUGUCAUGCCAUGCUUUAAGCUCGAGGCAGAUGGAUCGGGCAACCCCCAAGCUCGAGAUGGCGGGAGCUUGGGGAACGCAUUAUCCGGUCGAUCUUAAGGUCCACCAAAUCAGAAUGAGGCAAACAAGGUCGAGUAAGGGUAGCUCCACAAGGCCAUUGAGCCGACAAUGAAUGAGGCGCUGAGAAAGAGAAUAGGCAGCAUGGUUUGGCCCGCUAAAUAGGACAGUGAGUUAGGAGAUGACCUAGACAACCUUAACCUAUAGAGCUCAAAUAUAGCCUUCUCCCAUCCCCAGUGGCAUCAUACUAGGGCACCCUAUAGACAAAGGGCGUCAAGCCCUCGGGUGGCAACGAUCUCGAGGAGACCGGGUUUGAAGGGGCAGGCAGUUACAGUUGGGAGGUGGAGGGGGAGGCACAAUGUUGGUUGUCGAGAGAGAACAAUAGCAUGAGCUCGGAGGGAGGCCUUAGAUCUACUAUUACCAGGGUCAAGGGUUGCCAUCACGGCUAUCACAUAGUCAUCCCAUCCGGGCUUAUGUCGUCGCCACUGUCCAAUUGCCAUCCUAUUCCCGGUGAUAAGUGCCGCUUUCUUAGCUCCAUUGGCACCGGUAAGCGUGUCAUCUCUAACGGGUCGAAGAGAAUGCCCAUGAAUUACAUUGUAUCCUCCCUAUUGUCAACAUUGCCAUAUCUUAAACGGAGGUUCUUUUAUAUUCGUCAGAGAUAAAAUCAUCCAAAACAGUUGCAUUGACCCGUCAUAGAAGGCCACUGCUGUGCUGACCGGUUCUGUAGCAGUGGACAAGUCAGAACGACGUACAGUUGUUACUCUGUAUUGUACUCUAUAUAGCUUUGGCAAUGAGAAAACAUUAAACUGGAUUAGUUUUGUGUUUUCCAUUUGAUCUCGACACGUCACAUUCUCGAACUCCCUGACGACAAUUAAAACGCUCCACCUACUUAAUUGAUCAGUGGCAACGUGUCAGUACAACGUGUUGCUAUCCUGUUGCCGGUCAGGUCAGGCAUAUGCUGAUAGAUAGAUAUACUGUGCUGGGAGACAAAUCUGUUGUACGUUUGCAUAUGUACUCCAGGUUGUUGCACAAAGUUCAGACAUACGCGUCCGAAGGAAGGCUGUGUUUAGUUGGAUCAAAGUUUAGAUUUUGGUUAAAAUUGAAGAUGAUGUGACUGAAAAAUUGUGUGUGUAUGACAGGUUGAUGUGAUAGAAAAUGACUGAAGUUUGGAUCCAAAUUUUGGAUCUAAACACAGCCGAAAGCUAUAUGGCGACGGUGAAGGCUAUAGAUUCAGACAUACAAGUGGCUGUUGAGAAUGUUACAUAUAUUGCUGACAAUUUUGUCCUGAAAAUCUUUUUUCCUUGUGAUUUUUUGAUCGGCUUGUUACUCGGUCGGUUUGAUCUCCGGUCCAAAUUGGUUACGACCCAUUGCGUGGUUCCUCGGCUCAUUACAGAUGGCAUUAAAGCUGAUAUCGGUAGUCGUACUGAACAUACUAUCUCCGUCCUUAAAAAAAAAAAAAAGCAAACCCUGAGUUUACGUGUCAACGUUUAACUAUCCAUCUUAUAUGAAAUUUUUUUAUAAUUAGUAUUUUUAUUAUUGUUAGAUGACAAAACAUUAUUAAUAUUUUAUGCGUGACUCAUUUUUUUAAUUUUUUUCAUAGUUUUUUCAAAUAAAACGGACAGUCAAAUAUUGGACACGGAAAUCAGGAUUUAUCUUUUUUUUUGGACGGAGGGAGUAUAUCAUAUAUCACCGGUAUAUGCAUAGUAUAUAACAUACGACGAGCUGCGGGAGAGGCACCCAUGCGGUGUGCCGUGUGCGUAUCAUCUGCCAUCCCAACUGGAAUGGCAGAGAAGCACAGUGCCCAUAACAUUGGGGCAAUCUCAGCCGUCGGACCCACAACAAAUGAACGAGAUUAAUUGCUACAGUACGGGGGGUAAACAGUGAAUCAUCACAGUGGGUGUUACUAUUUUGUACUGUGUCUGCGGUGAAUUUUUUUUUAGAAUACGGUGCACAACACUGUUUCACACUGUAGCAUCAGACUCAUUUUACUGGUCAUGUCUGGCAUUUGCUCCUAAUGGCAGACGAUGCGAAUCCAAGGAUGUGGGGGACCAAGUCUUGAUUAUGGCCGUGGCUACAAGAGCAAAGGCUAAUAAGGGUGCUCUUUUGCAACUCCGAUCCCAACAAUGACUCAUGGCUUCGCAAAUCUAAGGCUGAGUUACGGAGAACAAUUUAUAAUGGUGAUUUCCUCAUUUUUCGUAAACACACUUCUUAAACAGUUAAACAGUGUAUUUUUCACAAAUAUCUAAUUUUCAUAUUUGUAAUAAUUAGCACUUGGAAGGGCGCUAAUGGUGGUAGUGACUUCAGUGUGGAGAGUGGAGAAGACAGAGAGGGGACAAAGUAGGAGCAGUUUAUUUGUUCUAGUAACUGUUUGGUUGCUAGGAUUACUAGGUGCACAUCUAGGGGUUCAACUCUAGCUUAUAGGAAUAAUGGUGUGUUCUUAGGGAGAAGGAACUGGGAGAGGGAGAGAGAGAAACCCAUACCUUCGCCGGUCUUGUAGCUCGAUGUAGGCAUGGUGACGGUGUUGGGCAGGCAACGUCGGUGAGGACGGCGACGGGGUGAGGACAGCGACGGCGGCGGUGAGCGAUUCCCCUCACUUCAGCGCCUUUCCCGGAUCGGACGGUUCUAGGGUUUUGUGUGUAAUCCGAGUGCACGUUCAACGUUGGUUACCGUGCUCGGUAGCUCCCCUUCUUAUUAUAUAUAUAGCGCUGCGUGAGAGGGGCCCAUUGCGAUGGUAUGGCUGGCGCCCCCGAUCAGAGCGUGUAGGCGGUGAAUCGGUUUCCUGAUUCCCCCGGGGAUCGCAAUUAACAGUAACAUGUUGGUUGGACAUGGUUUUAACUUGUUUUAUGACAUGACGGUCUAAAUGCAAAUUUGUGUCAUAAGAUUGAUUGAGUAUCUUAUCAUUCUAGACUAAAACAAAAGGUAUGGGUUGAAAUGCAAAUAUUUCAAUUUAAAUUUUUAGAAGAAACUGUACUCAACUUUUUCAAUAUUGAUUGGAAUCUUUUUGUUCAAGAAGUCUGUUUGCUCGAAUUUAAAAAGUAUGUAGAGAUGACUUUCAACCAAAAAUUGCUAAAACAGAAAAGCGAAACAAUUAACCAAGUCCCCAACUCAUAUGUGCUAGUGGCCCAUUAUCUGGCCCAACAAUUUGUUUGGAAGAAAAAGAACAUGCACACGCUCUCGCAGCGAAAUUAUUGAAACGGAAAAUGAAUAAGUCUAUUUUCCGUCCCUCAUCUCUUGCCCUUGGUUGAAUUGCAUCCCUCAACCCUAAAACCGGGUAUAACAUCUCCUCCAACUUAAAAAAAAAUAGAGUCCCUCGGUGGUUUUAAUAGCGGCCUCAUCCUAUGUGGCACUUACAUGGCGGGUUGACUUGGUUUUCAUCUUAUGUGGCAUCAACAUGACGCUACGUAGCAUUAAAAUAUAAACAAACCUUAAAUAGGACCCACAUGUCAGUGAGUACAAUAAUAUUUACUAUUAUAAAAAUUGAAGAUGUUUUUUUAGUACGUUAUCCGUGUAUGAGUCGGUUUUAAGUUUGUUUGCUUUUGGAAAUACAUAUCCGUAUUUGAGUCGAUUUUUAAGAUCGUUCACUUUUGGUAAUACAGAAAGAAUCAUAUAAGAAAUCUGUUUUAAAAAACUCGCAUGCUAACUUGAGACAAUCGGACUUUUAACUGUAGCUUAUGAUUUUCUAAAAAAAUAUAUAUCCAAGUGAACCCCCACAGUGAAUUUCAUCUUAACUAAACCAUAUAACAAUAAUAACAUUAAAAUAGACUUCACAUGUUGCAACGCACGGGUAUUAUUUCUAGUAAAAGUAAAUAUUGGGCCAUGUGUCAGUCCUCGCCCUCCGCCAUCCACCGGUCACUGCCAUUGCAUCCACCUGAAGAGAGAGAAAGGGUAGAGGGAGGAGAAAGGGUAGCUGACACGUGGGUUCAAAAUUUAUUUUUUAUUGUUUCACACACUUACAUGUUGGUCCCAUUUAAAUUUAUUUUUAUUUUAGUGUCACGUAAGCGCCACGUCGAUGCUACGUAGGAUAAAGAUCAAGUCAAUCCGCCACGUAGGAUGAAACCGCCGGGGGAUUAGAUUUGCAACGGUUUUGAAAGUUGGGGGAUGGGUUAUUCAAUCAGAGGGCAUGGAAGGCAAAAUAGACUUAUUCCAACGGAAAACUACUUCGUGAGCUGUCGGACUCGGAAGCGCUUUGCGCGCAUAUGCAAAUUAGCCAUCAUCCCGUUUAAUUAAUUUCAAACUCGAGCAGGAUUUGGUUUGAUUCGAGGUGACCUCAACUUCAUUCCAAUUUGCAUUAGCUUCUCCACAGCAUUUAGCUUUGUUUCGAGCUGACAACAACCUCCAGAGAAAGAAAAGGAUUAUAAGCUGCACUUUAGGCACAAGCUCCCAGAUUUUCCCCAUAGUUCCUUUCGUGUACGACAUUGCUCCAUCUCAGUUCACUACUCUCUCCGUCAAAAAAAAACCGAAUUCUUCGGUUUUCAUAUCCAACGUUUGACCGUCCGUCUUAUAUAAAUUUUUUUUAUGAUUAGUAUUUUUUAUUAUUAUUAGAUGAUAAAACAUGAAUAAUACUUUAUGCAUGACUUAUCUUUUUAAAUUUUUCAUAAUUUUUUCAAAUAAGAUGAACGGUCAAAUGUUAGACACGGAAACCUAGGAGUUAAGUUUUUUUUUGGGACAGAGGGAGUACAUACGGUUGUGCUCCGCCAACAAGAGCUGUCUUACAUGACUACUGCAAGUAGCCAUCUGCAGCACGCACGGGCACAUUAGGCCAUGAUGCUCCAUCGUCGCUCUCAUUGGAAAAAGGAAUAAGUUCAGUUUAGGUCUCUCAUUUUAACAUCGAGCCUGAAUUACGCCCUUGAAUUGUAAUACCUUAUAUAGCACGUUCAUCAUCUUUCAAAACAUGUAUAAAUGUAGUCCCCGGGUUAUAUUAUUGUAGGCUGUUUUGGCUGACGCGCGUGACAUCAGAAGAAAGAGAAAUAUAAAAAAAUCUUGUGGGCCCCAUAUGUCAACGAAACAAUUUCUUCCUCCUCUCUCCCUCCCUGCCCUCUCUUUCCCAUCUCUAUCUAGCUCUCCAGGUCAAGGAACUAGCGGGGAGAACAGAAACUAGCGGGGAGGAAGUGCGGCGAAAGACGGAGAGGACCUGGGCAGUGACGAGUGGCGACGACAUCACCAAGCUUGACUGCCACGGGGAGAUCUAGGGACCUUCGCUCUUGUCUGCUGCCCUGGUCUCCUUCGUUCCCACCCUCAUCCUCCGCUCGGCCUCCUCCGCUACUACCUCUUUCCGCUCCCGACAAGGAGAGGGACGACGCACUUCGUCUGAGAGCCUACAUCGACGCCGUCUUCAUCCCUCGUAGCAAACGCGUCACUGAAGCAUGGAGGUCCUGCUCACCUAGGCCUCCUCACUUCCUCGGUGGCCUCCUCAACGGUCACUAUGGUGUGGGGAGAGGAAGAGGAGGCGGCAACGAGGAUCACGUGGAGGCAGACACAUUACUAGCGCGCCUAGGUCCAGCUCACCAGUAUCCUCACUCCCUCCACUGCCUCCUCGAUGGUUGCCAUGGCAUGGGGAGAGGGAAGAGGAGCAAACUAACAUCAGCACAGGAAGCUCAAUGGCGUAGCCAGGUAGAGCUCCGUGUGCUGCUAGCAAUUGUUAGGGUAUGAGCUUGGGAGCAUGGCCGCGUUCAACGUCUAGAACUCAUCGCUCCUCGAGACGAUGUUGGACCCCAGCACGAGGCCCUCUUCACGAUGUUCGACAUGGUCGUCGAGAUCUCCUUCAAGAGGGCGUUGACGCCUUUCACCCUCGUGUUGGCCAAGAGGGAAGGGAGCUCCCUGGACCUCCCCACGGCGAUCGAGCAUAGUGACAUCGCCGACGCUACCCAGCUCUUCUGCACCGAUCAUUGCCCUUCUCCCUGUCGGCCGCCCUUCUUCCCAUUAGCACGCCACCCUAGACAGAGGUGAGGAAGGAGAGGGGACAUGGGGAAAGGAGGAAGAUAUUGUUUGACUGACAUGUGGGCCCCAUAGAAUUUUUUAUUAUUUAUUUUUGCUUCUAGUGCCAUGUCUGCACCACCAUAGGCGGAUCCAAGGGUGGUCCCAGGAAAACAAAAAUCGUAGCGUGAUGUAUAUAUAUACAUAUAUGAAAAAAAAAACUUUUGGAAAAAAAAUAAAAAGAACAAAUCCUUUAUAAAUAUAUUAUAUUGCACAUUUGAUCACUUUAUACUCCAAGCUUUAUUGUAUUUAGAGUAUUUUAAAAAUAUAUAUAGGUUGAACUACCCAUAUAGAAAUCAUAGAUACGCCACUCAGCACCACGUCAGCGAAAACACCUACAAUAUUGUCUUGGAGUUGGGACUAUAUUUGGACUGGUUUUAAAAUAUCAGAUAUAUGUUAUAUUCAGCAUUACAAGUAAUGAAUGUAAUUCAAACUCAAUGUUUUGAACGUGUUCCUUGAAAAGAACCGCACGAGUUAGCUCGUCUAUGGCUGUGUUUAGAUCCAAAGUUUGGAUCCAAACUUCAGUCUUUUUCCAUCACAUCAACCUGUCAUACACACACAACUUUUCAGUCACAUCAUCUUCAAUUUCAACCCAAAUCUAAACUUUGCGCUGAUCUAAACACAGCCUAUGUUGUGGGCUAGCAAACAACUAUAGCUACCUGCAGCCUAGCCGUGCCCGUAACCGGUCGGCCACUGGUCCAUUUUUAUCUGUCUAUCACGUGGGCUGGCCUGUUUUAGAUAAAUUUGUGCUGCAAAUAGUGUUCAAACAGUUCACACUAGAUUUGUUUUUUUCCUCAAUUUGUACAUUAAAUCUUGAGUUGAUUUUCCGUGUGUUACUACAUGUCUGUUACACAUGUAGGAUAUUUCUUUGCAUUUUCUUGUACUUUUCGGAUACAGUUUUAAGGCUGAGUUUUUUCUUUCACUUUCCCAACUCACAUAUUUUAUUUUCCGAGCACACAAUUUUUAAACUACUAAACAAUGCAUUUUUUUUCAAAAAUUUCUAUGCGAAAGUUAUUUUUAAAAAAUAUAUUGAUAUCUAUUUUAAAGUUUUUGCUAAUACUUUAAUUAAUCGUGUGCUAAUAAACAACCUUGUUUUCCGUCUUUCGGAAUGCAGCCUAAGCGUAACACGAUAGCAUAGCACUGGUCGGUAGUAAACAAUGUUUACAAAACCACGUGGUUAUUACGUGCGGUAAAUCUUCUUAGUUUUUAAAACCACGGUAUACCUCGCGAUAACCGUACGGUUUUCACGGUAACCACGCGGUUACCGCGAUAACCGCCAAACGGUGGGGGUGACGAUAACCCCACGCAAAACGGUUUGCUAAGGCCUACGACCGAUAUUCUGACAUGCUGCUGCCUACCGUGCCGCCCCCGGAGGGCGCCGGGGCCGCGGUCCCGCGCUCGCUCGCGGACGCUCGCACGCGGGCAACGUGCGGCCAUCCCGCGGAUCGGAACUCGGAUGCGUGUGGUUGAUUGGCGGAUGUGCUGUGCUGUGCUGUGCUGUGCGGCUGUGCCACACCGCUGCACGCCACGAGUGAGCUGCAUGUAUGAUAAAAUAUAAACACACUAGUACGGUACGUGUGGAUGAGAGAGAACCAAAACGUGCGUGGAAACGGAGCUGCUCCCUCCGUUUCAGGAUAUAAGUCAUUUUAGUACUUCCCACGUUCAUAGUAAUGUUAAUGAAUUUAAAUAAAUCUAGACAUAUAUAUCUAUUUAGAUUCAUUAACAUAACUAUGAAUAUGAGAAAUGCUAGAAUGACUUACAUUGUGAAACGGAGGAAGAAGCUCUGUUGGGUGGCCACCGCUAACACCGACGAGGCACCAAUAUUGGCAUCCAUGAUCAUUGUUGACCAAAAUCCAACUCGGCGAUUUGUUGGUUGCUUGCCGUACUCUGCUCGCCAUCUCAAUCUCCUCUUCAUAAACUAGUACAGUACACAAGAAAUUAAAGGGGCACCAAACCGGCCGGCCGGAGCUUAGCUGUUCUCAUGUACAGGGAGAAUCUAAGCCGACGGCUCGCACUUCUAUUCCCCUUCUUCUGAACGCGGCGUCUUCGGGCAGUAGCUGAUUCGGUUUUGCAAUAUUGCAAACUAUGCAAGAUCGCCGGCAAAUGUGUUAAAAAUAUUAAUUAAAAACACUAUAAGCAUGGAGUGUUCAUUCAUAUCUCGUAGUAGUAUUCUCUCGACGAUUGCUUUGAUUGGUUGCUUCCCGUACUCUGCUCGCCAUCUCUCUCUCUCCCUCAAGUAUAAAAGAAAAGGGGCACCAAACCGGCCGGCCGGAGCCGUUCGCUUGUACAGUGUCAACGCCUCGAAUUUCACAAAACCAGACUUCUAGGCAUAGUGUGUAUAAUUCUCUAUGUAAGGACCAAUCAAAGUACACAAAGAAAAAGUUGACAAAUAAAUCCAUGUCCUACAUCUCUAUCUCUAUCUCUAUCUCUAUCUCUGUCUCUACUACUUAAAAAAUAAGAGGUGUUUUCAUCGUCCGUCAAAAAAACCGGGCGAAAAAAAUCUGUCCGAUCCAAAACAAAACGGACGAAAAAACCGGACAAAAAACCGGGCGAAAAAAAGAAAAGAGAAACCAAAUCGCGAAAAAAAGGAAAAGAAAAAUGAAUCCGAUUCCGCGGUAAAAAAAAGGGCGAAAAGAAAUAAAAAGGGAAUAUGUCUGAUUCCUAAAAAACGGGCGCAAAAAAAACCAGGUGAAAAAAAGACCGGAAAAAAGCGAUAAAAACAAAAGAUCAGAAAAAAAAAAGUCCGACUCCUCUAGUGGAAAAAAGAGAGAGAAAAAACAAAAAACGAAGAGAAAAAAAAACUUCCAUUGCAAAAAUAAAGGCUCUAAAAAAAUCCGACUCCUCGGUGGAGAAAAAUAAAGGCGAGAAAAAACAAAAAAAGAGAAAAAAAAACUUCUACUAUAAAAAAGAAAAAAAACGUCCUUCGCUCGCUCCGUCGUUCCGCUCGCUUGUCGCCGGAGAGAAAUGGGAUCAAGAGAGAGGGAUUUGGGAGCUAGGGUUUUGCCCUCUCCCCGGUCGGCGCUUCAUCCGGCGCGGGGACGAUUGGAGCCGUCCAUUAGAUCGGACGACUCAGAUUCGCCCAGCGUCAGGCCGUUGCCGCCGUUGAUUACGCUGCGCCCAAUGGGCCGUGGAAGUGCAUCGGACCGUCCCCGCAUAUGUCGGCCGCGCUCAGCUGCUCAGCUUGCGGGCCAUCGAAUUGACUCAACUCGCCGGAGAUGGGCCAGCCCAAGUUUAGGCCGGCUUGGGAAGACCUAGGCCGAAAGCAAAUUUGAUCAAACAAUGUGGCUCACAUUUUUCAAAUUAAAGUCCGUUGGAUAAACUCUUAAGUAGGCUCGAAAAAUAAAUCUAAAACUAAAUCCUAAAUCCUAUGUUAAUUGAUCAAAUUAGACUCGGUUCUACCUAUUUAUUAAUAUAUCAAAUUAGACUUGAUUUUUACAGAUUUGAGGUUUUCAAGGUGUCACACUAUCAAACGGUGUUUUUGCCGUUGCAACGCACAGGCACUAUUGCUAGUAACUAUAAAGAGGUAUGCAGAGGCAUAAACCACAGUCUAAUAGUGAAAAGGUAAAGGCUAAAACAAGAUAACGAGGUGGCUUCAAUUUCACGGGAAUCAUGACGGUAGCGAGGAAGCCUAUGCCACCUAGAUGUCCUACUCUGAGAAAAAGAAAAAUAUUGCAAGGUUGAGUAUCACUCACCAUGCUUAGCAAAGUCAUACCAAUGAUGCAUCGUGCAAAGGGAACAAAUGAAGGUUUGUGUUAGACAUUUACAUUUCAAAACAGUAAAAUGGCUCAUUAUUAUUCAAGCCAAGAUUAAUCAAUACUUAACAAUGUUACACCAUGUUGCUCAACCCAAAGCACCAUCUAAACUAUUACCAUUUCCAACAAGUCAAGUUAUUUAAUACUGAUAUCAAUCGUGGUGAAAUUCGAUCAGCCAUCCAUAACCGUAGAUAUGGUUGUUUGAAUAUAUUUACUUUGAUCAAAGGGGUAACACCGCGGCAACAUGAUAAGAGAGAUUGUGACAUAAUCCUUCGCAUAACCCACCCUAAACCAUUCACGUCAUGCUGUGAUGCAUCCGGCCUAGGUGGCCCAGGUGGCCAAGGCCCAACAAAUUAAGGUUGCCUGGACCCCAACAUUUAGCACACCCACUCGGGGAAAGACCGACCUCAACAGUUCUUAGACAUACCCACUCAGGGAAAGACCCAAUCCCCCUAAAAGAUCCAAUAGGGGAAGGGUGGCUUCCUCCUCCCAAGCUAACAAGGGCCCAGCUCUGAUCCCAAUUAAUCCAUCCGGCCUAGGUGGGGUUGCCUAGAUCCCAACAGUUCUUAGGCACACCCACUCGGGGAAAGGCCCAAUCUCCCUAAAAGACUAGUUCAAUAGGGGAAGGGUGGCUCUCUCUUUUAAGGUGGUUUCUACCUCCCAAGCUAAGCAAGGUGGGAUUAUUCAGAGGCUCACACGGUCACCGCCUGACUACAACUGCACCACUUGGCCACUUAUUGUGUCUUUGCCAGCGGGUAAUAGUGGAGGAUGUCCUCAUCAUGCUGAGAUUGCACCUCCCGCACAUGUCGCACCCAACCUACCAGGAAGGCUAUACCCCCUUGCGACACGGUAGAUCUGACAUCUGCUCAGCUAGAUACCAAGCUGACAUGACUUCAUAACACCUACCCUUGUUAAUUGUUCCUAGGAGAGAGACAAGCUACACUACAAGCCUAGUCGUUGCGUAUGCUAGCUUGUGGUAAGUACAGAAUGUCUCACAAUAUGUUCCAGUAGCACUCAUUGAGGAAAAAGUAGUGACUGAGCAUCUCUGGGACCUAGGAAAGGUAGAGGAGUGUUAGGGAGGAGUAGCGCAAUCUGGAACGAUAGCAAAAUACGACAUGAGGAAGGUUGCCCAACGGCCUUACCUCGCACGGGGUGGUGAUGCUCUAGGGUGAACGGGCUUCGAGAAGACUCCGAUCGCACUCCUCGUUGUCACAAAGCUAGUGGUGGCGAGGGCACAGCUCGAUAGCAGCUAGAGCAGCGUCGAGCAACGGGUGGAGGUGGCUAACAACAGAAGUGCUAUGAUGGUCGUUGUGGGGAGGCGAUGGAGUGCACGGAGGGCUCAGGCGAAUGCGGAAAAAGGAGAAGAUGAGCAUGGGAAGGGGUCAUAUAGGCUAGGAAGGGAAGAAUGUGGCUAACAAGGCAACAUUGUCAAUGAGAGAGGGAUCACGAUGAUGAGACCGAAGUGCAUGUAUCCAUGUUAGUUCUGCACAUGAGUUGGGGAGGGUAAGAGGAGGAGUGGGUAACAACUGAUCCGACAUUUUGAAUGAAGGGAGAAGGUGCAAAAUUGGACAGAAGGGGUGGUUUCGACCGGUGGUGGUUUCCUAGGUUGGGGUUUAUAGUUAUUAUUCAAGGCUUUUAGGGUUUUUAAGCAAUUUCUUGAAAUUAACCAGGAAAGUAGCACGCGCAGAUACAUGGGCACCUAAAAUAUCAUAAAUUCUAUUACCACUAAAAUUUUUAUAAUUAAGUUUCAUUAACUUUUACUUGGAAUAUUAUUUGAUAAUUUUAUUAUAUCAAACUAUGAACUAUAAUGGGUGUGAAAUCUAUAAGGGUUGAGCAUGUAGUUUAUAUAAUUUAUAGUGUAGAUUUCAAUAUUAGCUUUGAGUGAUUAGGAGAUUAUAGGAGAGGAAGUGACUCGAGCAAUGUCCGCCCGAAAAAAGCCAUGACAAAUGGAAGCGGCGGCUUCUUCGGAGGUAAGGUGUCCUUGUGUUCACAAUUGCACAGAUGGCGUGAAAUUGUAAGGUGGGCGGCCAUACGGAACCCAUGUGGUAUAUAUGUGAUCUCUGAGUUAGGUUUUUUUUUCUUUUCUUUUUUAGGGGGGGUGGGGGGGGAUAGGAUAAGGAUUGAAGCUGUCGUCUAUUUGGUAAGAAAUGAGGAGCAUAUUUUUGAAAUCUUCAUAAAUCUUAUUUAAAUUUCACAAUUUUUUUACCGUGAAAAUUUAAAAUAGACUAAGGAAUAUUAUAUUUUAUAUAUCCAACUGUGUACUAUAAUGGCUAUGAAAUUGAAGGGUUAAAGUCUAGCUAUAAACUAUGAUUAUAUAUGGUAGAGGUCCCAUAUGUUAUAGAACUUUUUUAUACUGAAAUAGGAGAACACCGAUGUGAUCGCUCAUAUAUAUUGUUGAUGCAAUACUUGAUUCUUUGUUUUUUAUGCAUCUGUACGGUCAGAUAUAAUCCUUUGUAAGUUCAGCGAAAUCUAUGUUUCUCCUAAUUAUUUGUUCGGCACCGCUUAUUUAGUUUUGAUGCACAUGUUAGUUACACAUCCUUAGUGGCUACACGUCCAUCAACAAAUUAUUUGCAUUAAUUACAUUCACAGCAAUAGUAUUUUUAGAGCUGAUCAAUUUAGCAAAGUAAACAUUCACAGAUACCCCUCCCUCCGUAAAAAAAAAAAAAAAAAACCAAUCCUAACUACGAACCUGACACGUAGCUAAGAUUGAUCUUUUUUUUUUUUUACGGAGUAGUAACAUGGAUAGCCCUUCCUAGCAGUGAACCUCUACUUCGCAAAUUGCAACGCUAUCUCCCUCUAACAGGCGUGCAACAUCUAUCUCAAUAUUCAAGAUUUCACCGUGCAACAUCUAUCUCAAUAUUCAAGAUUUCACCGAGUGCGGUGGGGUUAAUUGUCCGGUUUAUUUUAAUCAAUAUAAUCUAAUCCAACAGUUUACAAUGUUGGACCCAUAGAUUUAAAUAAAAAUCAAGGAUAGAAUUUUUUUUUCUUUUUUCCUCGGAAUUUUUUGGAUUUUCUCUAACUAGAAAAAUACCCGUGCGUUGUAAUGCGAGAAGGUUAUUUUAAUAUUAUUAUUAUUAUACGGUUUAGUUAAGAUGAAAUUCACUGUGGGAAUUCGCUUGGAGAUAUAUUUUUCUAGAAAAUCAUGAGCUGCAAUUAGGAGUCUGACCUUCUUAAGUUAGUAUGCGAGUUUUUUUAAGAGAUAUCUUAUACGACUCCUUCUGUAUUUUCAAAAAUGAACGAACUUAAAACCCGACUCAAAUACGGAUAUGUAUUUUCAAAAUAAUAUGAACUUAAAGAAAACAACUCAUACACAAAUAGCGUACCAAAGUACCGGCAAAAACAUCUUCAAUUUUUAUAAUAGUAGAGAUUUAUUAGAGUGUCACGUGAUGGCUUAGAAACGUUUGUAGGAAUCUGACGGAGCUGGUGGCUCCUCACCGGGGGACCGCGCAGGCCCCCCUUUGCCAGUUCGGCCGGGGGCUUAGGGUGAAAUCUCAAGCUCUCGCUCUCUCUCUGUAUGUGGAAAUAUCGUCCGCCAGCCAGAAACACGAGACACCGGCGAUCUAUACAGGUUCGGGCCGCUGAGAAGCGUAAUACCCUACUCCUGUGUUUUGGUGGAUCUGUGUAUGAAUGGGCUACAAGUGUGAGCUGACUUCUCCCCCGUUCUAAGCUCAUAAUCUGGGAAAGAAUCAACAAACCCCCCACUCUAUGGGCAAGGUCCUCCUUUUAUACUUCAAGGGGAUACCACACGCACCCUUCUCUUUCCAAACUGGACUGUUCUUUUUCUCUUGAAUGGGCGGAGAUCAGCACGGUUGCUGUCCGAAUGACGCUCCGAUGGGACAGCCCACACCUACCUCCACUUCCGCCGGGAGUGAGCGCGUCGUGGGAACAUGGCUGUGCGCUGACGAUAUGAUCAGUGUCAGACCGGUCACAAAUCGGUCAUUCUUGUCCACCGCGUGUAAUCUUGGCAACGUGCAUGUUUGCCCUUCUUCACUCAACAUCUCGCCUGUAAUGGUUAGGAUGAAGCCUGGCAUAUAUCGUCCGGGGCUAACGUGUCAUCUCUAAUAGAUAACGCGCUUAACUCCGGCUUGAGACGAGUGCCUAGAGGCUUUCGUCUUGACGGGACGGGGCAAGGCGUGCGUCAGACCGCCAGUCGCCACCUAACCCGUGAUCUGACCGGUCUGUGACUGGUCACAGACCGGAUAAAGGAACGCGCCAUACUGCGCUGCAUGCAGCGUGACACGCUUGACCAGACUGCAAUAAAUGCUGUUAGGUGAGCACAGCUGUGCUCACUUAUCCCAUAUACGUGGCGCAGACUUCCUAAAGGGGGUCGGGGUGCCCCGGCCCUCGGGGCCAGGGCAAGCGCAACCCGACCCCCCCUCGGGGGAAAUCAGGAGGAGGGCGGACACCUCACCCUCGGGCCCGACGUCCCCGAAGGUGCCAGGCCACGUGGGCGGUUGCGUCUGCCUCAAGCCUCUGGUCAUGAUACUCCCGGUCCCAUAUCACCGACAGUAGCCCCCGGCGUUAUGCCAGAGCAAUUUCCCUUCCCAAGGGAAGCGGUCAGGUGUGACGCCACCCUGUGAUAGGUGGGACCGGUUUCCGUAGUUGGGCAAAAUACCCAACGGUCUCAAUUCACGCACAUUGGUAUUGGUAACUUUGGUUGUCCAUAAUGGGCGGUCUAUUCAAGACUGCCACACCACUUGAGCAGCGCGCGAAUCUGGGUGAGCAGAUUUGUCUCGCCCGGAGAUACGGUAACGCCGCUUCGGUUGGCGAGCGUAAUUAACGCGCGCACGAUACAAUCCGUUUCGAUUGCCACAACUGCACAUCCACUUCAAGCGCCGUAAGCGGGCGAAUGGGAUUAGUGGAAGCGUGGGCACGGGAAACGAGGGAGCGAGAUAGCGAGAUACGAGGGAGCGAGGUAGUGGGCGCGAGAAACGAGGAGCCAGGCCCAGCGAUGGCAAGGGUAUAAAAGCAUCGAGAAAAGGAUUUGCUCCCUUCCUUUCGCCAUUGUUCCUCUUGCCUUCGCUGCCUGAGCUCUAACUCUUUCUCUGCCACGCCCUACUUUCGCCACACGCGCUCGUUCCCAAUCAUCUCUUCCUCCACCGCCAUGGCAUGGGGCUCUGCUCUGCUCGACGGCAGUGUACUGCCGCCUUCCCGCAUCGUGAAUGAGAGGCACGCCGGACUGCCGCGCCGCUUCAUGCCGGAGUCCGCCACCGGUCGGGAGAUUGUGAUGCUGGGCGAGGGGCGCCCGGCAUCAGACUACCCGGGGCGGUCCAUCUUCUUCCUCCCCUUCGCAAUGGCUGGGCUGGUCCCGCCAUUUUCUCAUUUCUUCAUGGAUGUCCUGGAGUUCUACGAUCUCCAGAUGGCGCACCUCACCCCUAAUGCGGUGAUGACAUUGGCCAUCUUCGCACACCUGUGCGAGAUGUUCAUUGGGGUGCGCCCCUCUCUUCAGCUGUUCCGGUGGUUCUUCACCGUGCAGUCGGUGUCACCGCCAUCGGUGGUUGGCGGCUGCUACUUCCAGCCACGGGGGCCGGUGUUGAACCGCUACAUCCCCUGCGUCCUCCGCAAGAAGUGGGACGACUGGAAGAGCGACUGGUUCUACACCCCCCUCGCCGACGAAGCGCGCCUCCGACUUCCGAGCCAGCCCCCGGCGCAGGUCUCCAGCUGGCGGGCGCCGGUAGAUCUGGGGGAGGAGUACGACACCGUCCUCGACCGCCUGGCGGGCCUGCGAUCCCAGGGGCUCACCGGGGCCAUGGUGUACGGCGAUUACCUCCGUCGCCGGAUUGCGCCGCUCCAACGGCGCGCCCGGAGCGCUUGGGAGUACACUGGGCCUGAAGAUUACAUGCGGACCCAUCAGGGAACCAGAUGGGAUUGGGCUCCUGAGGACUUCAAGAUCGUAGUCCAAAGGGUGCUUAAUCUUAGCUCCGCGGAGGCGUCUCGCCUUCCUCAGGAGAUCCUCCCCCUCUGCAUCGAUCCCGACCGCGUCUCCAUUCUAUCCAUUAUGCUGGGGGUUGGGGCCUCAGAGGAGAGAGCCCCUAAGAGCCACGAUGGCGCGGGCGAGAGCCGCCGGGGGAAACGAUCUGCCCCAGGAGGGGGUCGUGCUUCUGGGCCCCGCGUCGGGGGCUCGGGGAGCAGCCGUCCUGCCGACGCCCCGGGGAAGAGGAAGCUGGGAGGAACACCUCCCCCAUCUCCUCCCCGAGGGGGCGGGGCGGUGCGUACCAGCGGUCGGCGCCCGGAGGGGGCCGCGCCGACGUCACAGCCCGAGGGGGAGCGCAAGAAGAAGCGCCUCCGCAAGAUGGGGGAGACGGAACCAGCCCGGGGAAACUUAAUUUCCCCUCCAAGGUGGUCAUUCAACCGACCCCCUCGCAGGUUCGUCUCACUCUUAUUGCAACCAUCUUUCUCCAAAAAGAAGUUUUUUCUUGCUCAUUUUGUUCGCCUUCUGGUUUUUUCUUCUGCUUCAGCGAUGUCCCGUCGCAUUCCUCCCGCCACCCCAAGUCCGGCCAGUCCGAGGCCGAAGAUCCAGCGGCCGCAGAGGAGCGGAGGCGGGAGUCUGACCGGCGUGAAGCCGCAGCCCGCCUUCGGGAAGCUGAAGAGGCCGCCCGGGAGGCCGCCCGGGUUCGCCAAGCGGAGGAAGCUGCUCGGGAGGAGGCCGCCCGGGCCCGCCAAGCCGCAGAAGCUGCCCGGGAGGAGGCCGCCCGGGCUCGCCAGGCUGAGGCGACAGCGUCACUUGGGCCCACUCCCUCGGGCGGCCCUCGGGCGACAUCCUCCGAGGCGGCUCGCGACGAGGCCGCGGGCGCAUCGCCUGGGCCUACCUCACCGGGCGACGCCCAGGACCGAACGGGCCCGGGGGACAUCCCCGAGCUCAGCGUAUCCUCCGGGGGGCCAAACCGCGUCGCCUUUUCUCCAAGGCGGCUUUUUUCCUCAUCUUCCGUCGCCCCGGUGAGCGCCGAGCCCAUUAUGCAGGCCUUGGCCGCCGCAAACACCGCGGUGCUGGAUGGGUUCAACACCCAGGUGGAGGCCCUGCGUGCAGAACGAGCGGAGCUCGAGGCCGCAUGGGCGCGCGUCGAGGAGGGGCGGCGCUCGGUGGACGCCAUGGUGGAGGUGGGCCGUAAGGCCCAUCGCCGCCACAUCUCGGAGCUCGAAGCCCGCAAGGCGGCGCUGGCGGAGAUCGCCCGAGAGGUGGAGGAGGAGCGAGAGGCCGCCCUCGUCGCCACCACCGCGAUGGUCGAGGCGCAAGACGCCCUCCGUCUUCAGCACGCAAGCUGGGAGGCGGAGCUGAAGAGCAAGCUCGACGCCGCCCAAGGGGUUCUCGACUCCGCCGCUGCCCGAGAGCGGCGGGCAACGGAAGCCGAAGCGGCGUCCCGGCGGCGCGAGGAGGCCCUUGAGGCCCGUGCCAUGGCGCUGGAAGAACAUGCCGGCGCCGUGGAGAGGGGCUUGAUGGACCGCGAGGCCACCACUGCUCUCCGGGAGGCGACGCUGGCGGCGCACGAGGCCGCCUGCGCCGAGGAGGAGUCCGCGCUCCGCCUUCGCGAGGAUGCACUCGCCGAGCGGGAGCGGGCUCUCGAGGAGGCCGAGGCCACGACGCGACGGCUGGCGGACAGCCUCUCCCUCCGCGAGGCGGCGCAAGAGGAGCAGGCGCGCCGCAACCUUGAAAGCGUCCGCGCCGAGAGAGCCGCGCUGGAGCAGCGGGCUGCUAACCUCGAGGCACGGGAGAAAGAGCUGGCCGCGGGGGCGCGCAUCGGUGGGGCGGCUGCGGGCGAAAGCGACUUAGCCGCUCGCCUCGCGGCUGCCGAACACACCGUCGCUGACAUGCAGCGCGCGCUGGACUCCUCCACCGGGGAGGCCGAGGCCCUUCGCUUGGCGGGCGAGAUUGGGCCCGGCAUGCUUUGGGACGCGGUCUCCCGCAUGAAGCGCGCCGGUCGGCAAGCAGGCCUCUGGGGAGGCCAGACGACGGUGCCCCCCACCAAUCUGGAAGGCCUCGCACCGCACCUCAACAGGAUGGCUUGGGUUCUCGAGCGACUCCCCGAGGAGCUCGAGAAGACCAUUAAGGCAUCCUCGAGGGACCUCGCCCGGGGGGCGGUCGAACUCGUGCUGGCGAGUUACCAGGCCCGGGAUCCCAACUUCUCCCCAUGGAUGGCGCUGGAGGAGUUCCCUCCCGGGACCGAGGACGAGGCGCGCGCGCGGGUCGGGGAUGCUGCUGACCACAUCGUCAACGGCUUCGAGGGCUCGGCCCCUCGGCUCGCGUUCGCCCCCAGCUCCGACGAGGAAGGCGACACCAGCAGCGAGGACGGCGGUGGCGACGAGGCCGGCGACCCGGGCGCAUAUGAAUGAGCCCCCAGGCCCCCGCCACUCUUAUCUUUUUUCUUGUUCUUUCUUCUAAGGCCUUCAUGCCUCUUUUUUGUACAAUUUUAACUUAAUCUGCAAUGAGAAAUGAUGAAAAAUUUUUGUGUUAGUUUUAUUUUGCUAUAUAUAUGAGCUGAGGAUGAUCUGUGCCAUGGUCCUUUUGCGACUUAGCUUGGAAUAAGGGCUCGCGCCCAAGUCCCGGUCCUCGAAUGGCUCGGGUCGGGGCUAGUGCCUGGGGAGAUCCGCAUGUCGAGACUGGCCAGGCCGGGAACGUGGUGACCGAGGGGUAUGGGUGACCCGAUUGUGGGUUUUUGCCGAUUCCCCCCCGGAGUUCACCACGCCCCGGGGCACGGCUCGGUUCUGGGCCCCGUUUGGCGAUUUUAGCCGACCGAACCGAGCCCCCGAGGGCAAGGUUGAGUACGAGUGACAUUAUUUCAAGUCAAGAUUCUUCAAAAGGAAAAAAACGGCACAGACACAACCUUUAGGAAAUUGAAACUGCUUUUAUUGAAAUGCUGAAAGGAAUAUAUGUGCAUGUGUGGUAGCCCCCGGCUAACCCUGCACACCCGAGGGGGGGUGCGGGGUUAGCCCGAGCCGAAACCUGACACCCGACCCCCCCCCCUUCAGGGGUAGAAGCGACGAAGGUGUUCGAUGUUCCACGGGUUUGGCAGCUCCGUGCCGUCGCCCGUGGCCAGCCGUACCGAGCCCGGCCGGGGGACACCGAUCACUCGAUACGGACCCUCCCACAUUGGUGAGAGUUUGCUCAAUCCAGCACGCGUUUGGACGCGGCGUAGGACGAGGUCGUCGACGCAGAGUGAUCGGGCCCGGACGUGGCGCUGAUGGUAGCGCCGCAGGCUCUGCUGGUAGCGCGCAGCUCGGAGGGCCGCGCGCCGCCUUCGCUCUUCCAAGUAGUCGAGGUCAUCUCUACGAAGCUGAUCUUGAUCAGCCUCGCAGUACAUGGUGGCCCGAGGAGACCUCAGGGUGAGCUCAGAUGGGAGAACCGCUUCUGCGCCGUAGACGAGGAAGAAAGGCGUUUCCCCGGUCGCUCGGCUUGGUGUGGUUCGGUUCGCCCAGAGCACCGCUGGCAACUCCUCGAUCCAUGAAUCGCCGUGCUUCUUGAGAAUAUUGAAGGUCUUGGUUUUAAGGCCUUUGAGGAUUUCUGCAUUGGCGCGCUCCACUUGGCCAUUGCUUCUGGGGUGGGCAGGUGAGGCGAAGCAGAGCUUGAUGCCCAUGUCUUCACAGUAGUCGCCGAAGAGUUCACUAGUGAAUUGGGUGCCAUUAUCCGUAAUAAUACGGUUAGGUACUCCAAAACGGGCCGUGAUACCCUUAAUGAAUUUAAGAGCAGAGUGCUUAUCGAUCUUGACAACCGGAUAAGCCUCGGGCCACUUAGUGAACUUGUCGAUCGCAACAUACAGAUACUCAAACCCGCCUGGGGCCCGUUUGAACGGUCCCAGGAUAUCAAGCCCCCAGACAGCAAAUGGCCACGACAGCGGUAUGAUCUGCAGGGCCUGGGCCGGCUGAUGGAUUUGCUUGGCGUGGAACUGACACGCUCUGCAUCGCCGGACCAGAUCGACUGCGUCAUUGAGAGCUGUCGGCCAAUAAAAUCCUUGACGAAAGGCCUUGCCAACCAGGGUGCGCGAGGCGGAAUGGGCUCCGCACUCGCCCUCAUGGAUGUCAACAAGAAGCUCAACGCCUUGUUCCUGAGGAAUGCACUUCAGGAGGAUUCCGUUAGCCGCGCGCCGAUAGAGGGUCCCUUCUACCAGCACAUAGCGUUUGGAAAUGCGUUGUACGCGUUCACUCCCUUCGCGGUCCUCAGGUAGAGUCUUAUCUGUGAGGUAUGUUUGGAUCUCGGAGAUCCAAGCAAUCAAUCUAAGGGAGCUUGGAGCGCUCCCUUCGGGUCCCGAGGCCUGGACUCCGACGGGCCUCGGGUGCCGGUCAGGCGCAUCCGUCUCCCCUAAGGGGUCGGGUCGCGCCGACGGCUGGGUAAGCCUUUCUUCAAAGGCGCCUGGUGGGGUCUGGGCUCGCGAGGACGCGAGCCUUGAGAGUUCAUCGGCAAUCAUAUUAUCCCGUCUGGGCACAUGCCGAAGCUCUAUCCCGUCAAAAUGGCGCUCCAUACGCCGCACUUGGCGUACGUAGGCGUCCAUCUGUGGGUCAGAGCACCGGUACUCCUUACAGACCUGGUUAACGACUAGCUGGGAGUCGCCUAAUACCAAGAGGCGGCGGAUCCCCAGUCCAGCCGCCACUCUGAGUCCGGCAAGGAGUCCCUCGUACUCUGCCAUAUUGUUAGUCGCUCGGAAGUCGAGACGGACCAAAUAUCUGAGGACGUCUCCGUUCGGAGAGGUCAACGUGACCCCUGCACCGGCGCCCUGAAGAGACAGAGAACCGUCAAACUGCAUCACCCAGUGGGCGGUUUGAGGCAGCUGUGAGGGGUUCGUGCUGGCCUCGGGUAUUGAGACGGUCUCUGGAGCCGGGGUCCACUCUGCCACAAAAUCGGCGAGGGCCUGGCUCUUGAUAGCGUGGCGUGGUUCAAAGUGCAGAUCGAACUCGGAAAGCUCGAUUGCUGUCGCGACCGGGAAAAUUGCCUUUUUCCGAACGCUUGUGUAUUAAUCCCCGUCCCAGGAAAAGCCGGGGUACACCAUACAAACAUGAUAUAAAAGACACAUCUUUAUUAUAUCGAUAAUAUUUACAUUAUUACAAAGGCACUUAAGGCCUGACAAACAAAGAUAAACAGCAGCGGACUAGCGGGCCUACGGCUCCAUCUUCACAGGCGCUCAACUGGAGUAUAAGCCAGGACUCCACCUAAGACAUCUCCUCCAAAGCUUCUCUUACUGAAGGGGGAAAAGAUUGAGCAAGAAUGAGUACAACCACAGUACUCAGCAAGCCACACCGGAGAAUGCAUGAUUAAUGCAAGGGAGUACAAGGAGAUAAUAAUAUAGGGGUUCAGUUUUGCAGUAAACAGCAUUUAAAAGUCACUUAGUUGCCCAAAGCUAUUUUAUAAAGACGAUCCUAGAGCUACACAGUGUUAUUAAACAAGGCCGUGAACCCUCACGAACCUGCCUUAACCCAAGGCCUACGAUGAAUUGGACCGAACUGGCAACCCGACCUGGGUCCCAACUCGUCCCAAGCCAACCCAGGCCAACCAUUCCAUAUUUUAGUUGUUGAGCAAAUUUUAAGAAUUAUAACACUGACCUGGGUACAUUGCUAGGCUUGCCCAUAUCCGAGGGCUCGGCUAUUCGAAUAGAUUUACUCUGAUCAGAGGUGUACAUCUUUACCCACAAGACACAUCUUUACUCCGCAUUCCAUGGCCUUGGAACCCGUCGUAAAGAUGUGACAUAGUUUCCAACCCAUCCUAGCCUUAGACAAGAGUACCGACCCAAUCCUACCUACGGCCGGGAUACCCGGGACAGGCAGGCAGAACUGAGCCCCUAGCAUUGGGCACCAACCCUCCGCCGUAUGACAUCUCGACUACCGAGCCGCAGCUCGUGUAGCCUUCAUUUGCCCUGGAGAAUGUCCAUCGACGCCCGACUUCAUCCAUCUCCAAUCCGUGUACUUUUGUUUAUGACUAGACUGAGCCACAAACUAAGCCUUACCCAUUAGACAUGUGGAAGUACGGUAGUGCUUUGCAACAGAGGCCCGAGCUUUAGUCCUUAUAGUGGCCGGGGUGCUACUUCCCAUAACUGGCAUGCACCCAAACCCCACCGAAAACAGGUUUUAGGGGUUUUGAAAGAGGAAGAGAGGUGUAUGUCCAAUUCCACCACAAACCAAUAAUUCCAUAGUGUCCAAAUGAUAUGAGAAUUCCCAAAGUCUAAAGUUAUAAAACCACCUAAUGUUGCCUAAUUAUUCAGCGAAGCAUCUACCUAAAUUUAUACUAGUGGAACCAUGAACAGAGUACCCACUAGUUGGGGUUUUAUUUAUUCUAGGGUGAACAAGGUAAUAAUAAUAACAAUAACAAUAAUAAGGUCAUAACAAAGGUAAUUGGGCAUGGCUAGAUAAAACAGUGAUAACGCGGGAAUUUAAAUAAAGCGGUAAUGCAAUAAUUUAAAUCAACAUAAUUUUACAAACUGGGAUUCAAUAUGUUCAAGGAUGAUGUGACUUGCCUUGCUCAGAGAGAACGGACUUCCGAUCCUUCGGCGACGACCACGAACCACGCUUCGGGAACCUCCGGAACGACGAAAGCUACGCGAAGCACACAAGCAAAGCUACAAGCCUAUAAAGAAGCAAUAACAAUACAUAAAAACAAAGCACAGGGUUCUUUAGGUUAUAGCAAACAUUAGGAGACUUGAACGGGUCGAUUCAGAGUUCGUAUGACCAAGAUAUGAUCAUCCGAAGUUUAAUGCUGUUAUAUGGAGAUUUGCGGAUUAUUGUAAUUAGGUUUUGCAACUAUAAAACAUGUGUAAGCGCUAGCCUGGAAAAGACAGGAAGGCUGCGCCGUUGACAUGCGGACCCCACAUGUCAACCUAAAGGACCGCGGUAGACCGAGUGCACAGAGACGGUCCACGGGUCGACGGAAGCGGAUCCCGUGUGUCAACCGAGGCGAGUGGCCGACAAACGGACUCCACUGGACACCACACGGACUGCACACGUGGAAACCACGCGGCUACCAAGCGGGCACACAAACACGGACACUACACGGUCACCACCCGCACACGUGAACGACUACCGACACCGGUACACGGGUACCGGGGUCGACGACCGCACAACGGGUACGGGGCGACGCCGAAAGGACGAGGGCGGGGAAGCGAGAGGACGGAUCCUUACCACCACGCGACGAGGCGUGGGAACGACAACGACGAACGGGCGCGGCGGAGACAGACGGGCACAACGGAGACGAACGGCGAGGGGACGGCUUCGGCGGCGAUCCUUGGACGAAGGCGAGACGCGGCCGGCACGGGGCUUGACGACGCGGAGCCGAGGGCGGAGACGAGGACGGGGCUGCAGCGGCUCGCUUGACGAACGCGGACGACGGACGAGAACGGCUCGACGGAGGGACGAACGCCACGACGACCGGGAACGACGAGAGGACGACGACGACGGCGACGACCGGGACCGGCGAGGAGGCGACGAGGACAGCCGGCAGCGGCUGCACGGAGACGAGGACGACGUGGGACACGCCGCUGCGAUGACGAUGACGGAGGCGGCGCCGCGAGACGACGAGCCGGGCGACCGACGGGACGUCGAUGACGAGAACGAUCGGAGACGACGAUGAUGGCAGGCAGCAGCGGCUGAGAGGAGGAGGGGACAGCGUGGAACACGCCGCUACGACGUUGGUGAUGGUGGUGGUGCAGCGGGGCGACGAGCCGACGAGGAGGAAGGAGAGGCCGGCGCGGAGACGACGGCGUUCCGGCGAAGUUCGGGCGAGGAGGAGGUGGUGCCGGGGAUGAGAGCGGCGUCGUGGAGCCGAGGAAGGUGGUGGCGACGUCGGCCGGCGCUCCGGGGACGUGGCAGAGGCGGCCGGAGGCGGAGAAGUGGUGGCGACGCCACUGGACGCCGGCGAGGACGCGUCUCCGGUGCUUUCCCCGCGAAACGGAGGGCUGACCGAGGGAGAGGGAGCAGCUGCGAGGCCGAGGACGACGUCGCGGCUGCGAUGCCGAAGAUGGUGGUGGAGGUGGCCGACCGGUACACGGCGAGGAGGGACGGGCGGCCGAACAACUCCGGCGAGGCGGAUGUAGAGGUUCGCGGCGACGUUCCGGCGAAACCGAGGGCAGGCCGGGGUGGAGGGCGAUGCGGCGUCGCCGAGGGAGGAGACGGCGACGUCGGCCGACGCUCUGGCGCGGCGACCGGGCAGCCGGAGGAGAUGUCGACGAGGAGGAAGGUGAGGCCGGCGCGGGCGACGGUGUUCCGGCGAUGUUCGGGCGAGGAGGAGGUGAUACCGGGGAUGAGGGCGGCGUCGCGGAGCCGAGGGAGGUGGUGGCGACGUCGACCGGCGCUCAGGCAGGGAGAUAGAGGCGGCUGGAGGCGGCCGGCGCGAAGGAAAGAGGAGGACGACGGCGGGAACGCGCCUCCGGCGGUCACCGCGCGAAACGGAGGGUAGGCCGAGGGAGAGGGGGCAGCUGCGAUGCUGGAGGAGGCGACGGCGCGGCCGGACGAUGCUCCGGUGAGGAGGGAGAGGCGGCUGGAGGCCGGCCGGCAACGUGGGAGAGAGAGGGCGACGGUGGGGAGGUGGCUAGAGACCACGGGAGAGCUUGGGAGGAGACCAAAACGGUAGAACGCAAAGAGGGGGUUCUAUUUUAUAGGAGAGGAGAGGGAACCGGCCACGGGGGAGGUCGGAACGGCGGCGAGAACCACGGCCGGCGGCAAUGGUUGGUGGCCGGAGAAAACGCGAGCGUUCCCGGCGAUUGGGGGCGGCAUUCAAGGGGGAAAACGGGGGAAAUCGAAGAGGAAUCAAUGGGGAUUAAUUGCCCCUAAUCAAUUUGGUAAGAGCCGGCUUGAAUAGAGCGGAUUUAGAGGAGGAAUGGCGCUAGGGCUCGCUCGGGAGAGGGAGAGAGGACGGCCGGGCGGGAGGAAGGGGACGACGCCCGCCUGACGCGCGGGCCCCACGCGGUCGGGCGGCGGCGUCAGCGCGCGCACGCGCGCGGCACGUGCGGGAGGGGAGCGGCUCGGGGGCUGGGGCGGCUUGGGCCGGCGGCCGGCCCAGGAAGAGAGGAGGGAGAGGCGGCUUGGGCCGGGCAGGCCGGGAGGGGAGGGGGGGGGAAGAGGCAGCCCGGGAGAGAGAGGGAGGAGGGAGCUGGGCCGAGAGGGGAGGAGGCCCAAGAGGAGGAGGGAGAGAAGGAGAGAAAGAGAGGGAGGAGAGGGAGACUUUGAACUGGGCUUGGCCCAAAGGAGGAAGAGGAGGGAUUUUUAGCUUUUCUUUUUAAUAAACUUUGAUCAAGGUUGUUGUUGCUUAAUAAUUAUUUCCGGUGCUCUGAAAAUUCAAGUAAAAUUUGAGGGCUCUUUUUAGACCAAGGAGAAUUUAACAAAAAUUCUCCGGGCCACAUUGGAAUUUUUCUUGUACGUAUUUUAGUGUUUGCCAAUUUCUUUUCGCAUUUUAAUUAAUUCUAUUAUGCCUUUUAGCGAAUGAUUUUUAUUUCGGGAUGAAUUUAUCAGGACGUGACAAAUCCACCCCCCUUACAAGAAUCUCGUCCCCGAGAUUCGAGGAGGCUAGCAAGAAGAUAGGUUGGGCGGUCUUCUCUUCUUGUCUGACUUCUUCCGCUCCGUCUUCUAUAACAAACUUGCCUAACAAAACUUCUUCACUCUGGACUGCUUGGCUCGAUCUCCUGUUGCAGAUGGAAUCUUCUCUUCACCUGACUUGUCCCUGGUUGAACCUUUAGCUGACUUCGACUGGGUUGCGGCACUUGAAGAUAGGGCUUCAGUUCCAGAACUUUGCAUAGUUCAUAUCUUUGGAGUCAACCUCAUACAAGUUACCCACUUCAUGUCAUGCGUCGAGAUCAGCUCGUCAUUACUAAGAUACCAUGCUUGUCAUCAUUUAGCAUUCAAAGUAUUCCCUUACACAUUCAGCCCUGACGUAUUCUUUUUAGAUUUCUCUUAUCAAUCACCUUUCGACCUACUUCUUUGCCCGAUAAUAAACACCUUUGCUGGUAUCUUCUAUCAAUAACCUUUUGAACUUUGUCAACCAAGUACUCUUCACUCCAAGAGUUGUGGAUGCUUUUGGUGACGAUGCGGUCCUUUGGUCUGCUGCCUUUCAGUGAAACCUUCAAGUGUUUUGCCAAAAGCUGUACUGACUGUCUUUGUCUUUGAUCCGAAAAAGACACAUCUGAAAUUCUUAAUCCCAACAAAUGUCUCUUUGGUUAAUCGCUUGAUUUUCUUUUCCAUCCUCAGGUUGGUUAUUAGUUCGAGGUUAGAAUAUAGUUCCUCUGGCACGAGACCCUAGGUCUCCUUUGUCAGUAAACAAUUAUACACAUGAUCACAUAUCCGCAUCUUCCAAAAGAAUCCUCUUAGAACUUGUUUUUAUUACCAAUUUCUCCCAUAUUACAUGAAUACAAGGCACUGUCUUAAACAAAAAGGGAAGGUGCUUAACAUCGGUACAUUGUUUCCUCUAUGGGUUAGAAUUAACAUGAGGCCUCACAGGUACGGCGUUUGCUCCAGUGACCACAAGGCGAGUGACCUGUCUUCUUCUUGCAUAAUGGCCGGAGUGAUGGCGCAGGUUACGCUUCGGCUGUGGACAAUCUCUGGAGAAAUGACCUGGUUCUUUGCAGUUGUAACAAAUCAACGUCUUCUUUGCUGAGCUGUCCAUCUGGGGAUGAUCAUUGUGACUUGGAGUUGGAAUUGGUGGUUGGAAACCCUUGCUAACAUUGGCAUCAGCGGUACCAUCGUUGCUAUCACCAUUGGAGUCUUUCUCAGUGUCAAAAUUGCUAAGGUUGUCAUUCUGGGUUCCAACAUUGAUACUAUCGUUGACAUCUUGGCGAAUGCUACCGACAUUGCACGCUUUAUUCGAGUGGUCACUAAUGGGGCAAGAACCAUGGUUGUUGGUGGUAUCAUCAUUAUUAGUAUUGCUAGUGUUGUUGUCUGCAUUGCAUUCAUCUUCUUGGGGCAGGAACUCUUGAUGCACAACAGGAGAUCCGGUGAUCUGAAGUGGCUCAGUGCGCUGUCUUUGGUUACCACCUGGAAAUACUGGGAUGUUGACAAUCCUUCUCUUGCAGUUCGUCAUCCGAUUAUGCUCACUUUCGAGUUGCAUGGCUUUGUCCACAAGUUUCUCAAAAUCUUCAUAAUCCUCUAGAAGUAGUUGCACUGCAAGCUCAUCUUUUAACCCCUGGAGAAACUUCUCUUGUUUGUCUUCAUCCGUUUCCACAUCUUCUGGUGCAUAGUGAGCCAAACGAUAGAACUCAUGCAGGUACUCUGUGACGGUCAAAUCUCCUUGCUUCAGGUAGCGAAACUCUCGUUUUCUUAGUGUGAUCAUUCCUGCGGGAACAUGUGAUCUCUUGAAUACAGAUGAAAACUCGUUCCAGGUGAUGGUAUGUCCUUCUGGCCGUGAUGCUUCGUAGCUAUCCCACCACUCUGAAGCCGGUCCAACCAACUGAUGAGUUGCGAAGCCAACCCGCUCCUGGUCGGUGCACUGAAUCAACCCUAGCUUCUUCUCGACUGUGCGCAACCAAUCACUGGCUUCCAUAGGAUCGACGGCCAUGGCAAAGGUUGGAGGCCCCGUUUUGAGAAAUUCUGAUAACUUGCACUGUUGCUGGACUGUAGGUACUUGAACGUUGGUUGCCCCUGCUGGGUUGUUCCGAUUCUGUAAGAGUUGAAAGGCUGUUGCCAACAUGUUGGUUUGGUUAACCACAACUUGGAUUAGCUCUGGUGAGGUUUCGUUGAUGCUUUUCUCAUUCCCAUUGGCUUGGGUUCUUGAGUCAUCGGAUCCAUCAUUCCCAUAGCCUUUGUUACCAGUGUUAUCCAUCUGUCACAAGGUAGGGGUUGAGAGAGGAAGCAUACAAGGAAAGAAUAGACCAGAGCUAGGGACAGGACCUUAAAGGAACUAACUCUUUUUGUUGAUGUGUUGUGUGUUUUGCUUAUUCUGCAAGUUGAUUAAGCAAACAACCUAGCAUGGUUACAUCACCACCCACCGAUGCAAACCACGCGCUACACACACAAGCAAGGAAACACACGACAAACGAAACACUAGAGGGUGGCUUAGGUUCUGCGACGGGUUCUCCAAGAUCUUCACUCCUGCUUCACAGCUGGCUUCACUGCUUCCUUCGCUUCGCUAGCGGAUCCUGCAGUCUUCCGGAGCUUCGGCAAACAACUGACGACAUCUUCUUCUUCGCAAAGCUGACCAUCUAGUACUUAGUUGAAAUCCGAAGAAAGAAAAGAGUAAACCUUUUGCAAAUAGCAUUAGGAGAAGGAGAAAAAGAGGAACUUUCGCAAAUAAUUUUAUUUAUAAAAUAUGUCCUUAGGUUUUAUCCAUUUGGCUUAUCCUACAGUCGAGAUGGCUCUGAUACCAGCUUGUCGCGACCGGGAAAAUUGCCUUUUUCCGAACGCUUGUGUAUUAAUCCCCGUCCCAGGAAAAGCCGGGGUACACCAUACAAACAUGAUAUAAAAGACACAUCUUUAUUAUAUCGAUAAUAUUUACAUUAUUACAAAGGCACUUAAGGCCUGACAAACAAAGAUAAACAGCAGCGGACUAGCGGGCCUACGGCUCCAUCUUCACAGGCGCUCAACUGGAGUAUAAGCCAGGACUCCACCUAAGACAUCUCCUCCAAAGCUUCUCUUACUGAAGGGGGAAAAGAUUGAGCAAGAAUGAGUACAACCACAGUACUCAGCAAGCCACACCGGAGAAUGCAUGAUUAAUGCAAGGGAGUACAAGGAGAUAAUAAUAUAGGGGUUCAGUUUUGCAGUAAACAGCAUUUAAAAGUCACUUAGUUGCCCAAAGCUAUUUUAUAAAGACGAUCCUAGAGCUACACAGUGUUAUUAAACAAGGCCGUGAACCCUCACGAACCUGCCUUAACCCAAGGCCUACGAUGAAUUGGACCGAACUGGCAACCCGACCUGGGUCCCAACUCGUCCCAAGCCAACCCAGGCCAACCAUUCCAUAUUUUAGUUGUUGAGCAAAUUUUAAGAAUUAUAACACUGACCUGGGUACAUUGCUAGGCUUGCCCAUAUCCGAGGGCUCGGCUAUUCGAAUAGAUUUACUCUGAUCAGAGGUGUACAUCUUUACCCACAAGACACAUCUUUACUCCGCAUUCCAUGGCCUUGGAACCCGUCGUAAAGAUGUGACAUAGUUUCCAACCCAUCCUAGCCUUAGACAAGAGUACCGACCCAAUCCUACCUACGGCCGGGAUACCCGGGACAGGCAGGCAGAACUGAGCCCCUAGCAUUGGGCACCAACCCUCCGCCGUAUGACAUCUCGACUACCGAGCCGCAGCUCGUGUAGCCUUCAUUUGCCCUGGAGAAUGUCCAUCGACGCCCGACUUCAUCCAUCUCCAAUCCGUGUACUUUUGUUUAUGACUAGACUGAGCCACAAACUAAGCCUUACCCAUUAGACAUGUGGAAGUACGGUAGUGCUUUGCAACAGAGGCCCGAGCUUUAGUCCUUAUAGUGGCCGGGGUGCUACUUCCCAUAACUGGCAUGCACCCAAACCCCACCGAAAACAGGUUUUAGGGGUUUUGAAAGAGGAAGAGAGGUGUAUGUCCAAUUCCACCACAAACCAAUAAUUCCAUAGUGUCCAAAUGAUAUGAGAAUUCCCAAAGUCUAAAGUUAUAAAACCACCUAAUGUUGCCUAAUUAUUCAGCGAAGCAUCUACCUAAAUUUAUACUAGUGGAACCAUGAACAGAGUACCCACUAGUUGGGGUUUUAUUUAUUCUAGGGUGAACAAGGUAAUAAUAAUAACAAUAACAAUAAUAAGGUCAUAACAAAGGUAAUUGGGCAUGGCUAGAUAAAACAGUGAUAACGCGGGAAUUUAAAUAAAGCGGUAAUGCAAUAAUUUAAAUCAACAUAAUUUUACAAACUGGGAUUCAAUAUGUUCAAGGAUGAUGUGACUUGCCUUGCUCAGAGAGAACGGACUUCCGAUCCUUCGGCGACGACCACGAACCACGCUUCGGGAACCUCCGGAACGACGAAAGCUACGCGAAGCACACAAGCAAAGCUACAAGCCUAUAAAGAAGCAAUAACAAUACAUAAAAACAAAGCACAGGGUUCUUUAGGUUAUAGCAAACAUUAGGAGACUUGAACGGGUCGAUUCAGAGUUCGUAUGACCAAGAUAUGAUCAUCCGAAGUUUAAUGCUGUUAUAUGGAGAUUUGCGGAUUAUUGUAAUUAGGUUUUGCAACUAUAAAACAUGUGUAAGCGCUAGCCUGGAAAAGACAGGAAGGCUGCGCCGUUGACAUGCGGACCCCACAUGUCAACCUAAAGGACCGCGGUAGACCGAGUGCACAGAGACGGUCCACGGGUCGACGGAAGCGGAUCCCGUGUGUCAACCGAGGCGAGUGGCCGACAAACGGACUCCACUGGACACCACACGGACUGCACACGUGGAAACCACGCGGCUACCAAGCGGGCACACAAACACGGACACUACACGGUCACCACCCGCACACGUGAACGACUACCGACACCGGUACACGGGUACCGGGGUCGACGACCGCACAACGGGUACGGGGCGACGCCGAAAGGACGAGGGCGGGGAAGCGAGAGGACGGAUCCUUACCACCACGCGACGAGGCGUGGGAACGACAACGACGAACGGGCGCGGCGGAGACAGACGGGCACAACGGAGACGAACGGCGAGGGGACGGCUUCGGCGGCGAUCCUUGGACGAAGGCGAGACGCGGCCGGCACGGGGCUUGACGACGCGGAGCCGAGGGCGGAGACGAGGACGGGGCUGCAGCGGCUCGCUUGACGAACGCGGACGACGGACGAGAACGGCUCGACGGAGGGACGAACGCCACGACGACCGGGAACGACGAGAGGACGACGACGACGGCGACGACCGGGACCGGCGAGGAGGCGACGAGGACAGCCGGCAGCGGCUGCACGGAGACGAGGACGACGUGGGACACGCCGCUGCGAUGACGAUGACGGAGGCGGCGCCGCGAGACGACGAGCCGGGCGACCGACGGGACGUCGAUGACGAGAACGAUCGGAGACGACGAUGAUGGCAGGCAGCAGCGGCUGAGAGGAGGAGGGGACAGCGUGGAACACGCCGCUACGACGUUGGUGAUGGUGGUGGUGCAGCGGGGCGACGAGCCGACGAGGAGGAAGGAGAGGCCGGCGCGGAGACGACGGCGUUCCGGCGAAGUUCGGGCGAGGAGGAGGUGGUGCCGGGGAUGAGAGCGGCGUCGUGGAGCCGAGGAAGGUGGUGGCGACGUCGGCCGGCGCUCCGGGGACGUGGCAGAGGCGGCCGGAGGCGGAGAAGUGGUGGCGACGCCACUGGACGCCGGCGAGGACGCGUCUCCGGUGCUUUCCCCGCGAAACGGAGGGCUGACCGAGGGAGAGGGAGCAGCUGCGAGGCCGAGGACGACGUCGCGGCUGCGAUGCCGAAGAUGGUGGUGGAGGUGGCCGACCGGUACACGGCGAGGAGGGACGGGCGGCCGAACAACUCCGGCGAGGCGGAUGUAGAGGUUCGCGGCGACGUUCCGGCGAAACCGAGGGCAGGCCGGGGUGGAGGGCGAUGCGGCGUCGCCGAGGGAGGAGACGGCGACGUCGGCCGACGCUCUGGCGCGGCGACCGGGCAGCCGGAGGAGAUGUCGACGAGGAGGAAGGUGAGGCCGGCGCGGGCGACGGUGUUCCGGCGAUGUUCGGGCGAGGAGGAGGUGAUACCGGGGAUGAGGGCGGCGUCGCGGAGCCGAGGGAGGUGGUGGCGACGUCGACCGGCGCUCAGGCAGGGAGAUAGAGGCGGCUGGAGGCGGCCGGCGCGAAGGAAAGAGGAGGACGACGGCGGGAACGCGCCUCCGGCGGUCACCGCGCGAAACGGAGGGUAGGCCGAGGGAGAGGGGGCAGCUGCGAUGCUGGAGGAGGCGACGGCGCGGCCGGACGAUGCUCCGGUGAGGAGGGAGAGGCGGCUGGAGGCCGGCCGGCAACGUGGGAGAGAGAGGGCGACGGUGGGGAGGUGGCUAGAGACCACGGGAGAGCUUGGGAGGAGACCAAAACGGUAGAACGCAAAGAGGGGGUUCUAUUUUAUAGGAGAGGAGAGGGAACCGGCCACGGGGGAGGUCGGAACGGCGGCGAGAACCACGGCCGGCGGCAAUGGUUGGUGGCCGGAGAAAACGCGAGCGUUCCCGGCGAUUGGGGGCGGCAUUCAAGGGGGAAAACGGGGGAAAUCGAAGAGGAAUCAAUGGGGAUUAAUUGCCCCUAAUCAAUUUGGUAAGAGCCGGCUUGAAUAGAGCGGAUUUAGAGGAGGAAUGGCGCUAGGGCUCGCUCGGGAGAGGGAGAGAGGACGGCCGGGCGGGAGGAAGGGGACGACGCCCGCCUGACGCGCGGGCCCCACGCGGUCGGGCGGCGGCGUCAGCGCGCGCACGCGCGCGGCACGUGCGGGAGGGGAGCGGCUCGGGGGCUGGGGCGGCUUGGGCCGGCGGCCGGCCCAGGAAGAGAGGAGGGAGAGGCGGCUUGGGCCGGGCAGGCCGGGAGGGGAGGGGGGGGGAAGAGGCAGCCCGGGAGAGAGAGGGAGGAGGGAGCUGGGCCGAGAGGGGAGGAGGCCCAAGAGGAGGAGGGAGAGAAGGAGAGAAAGAGAGGGAGGAGAGGGAGACUUUGAACUGGGCUUGGCCCAAAGGAGGAAGAGGAGGGAUUUUUAGCUUUUCUUUUUAAUAAACUUUGAUCAAGGUUGUUGUUGCUUAAUAAUUAUUUCCGGUGCUCUGAAAAUUCAAGUAAAAUUUGAGGGCUCUUUUUAGACCAAGGAGAAUUUAACAAAAAUUCUCCGGGCCACAUUGGAAUUUUUCUUGUACGUAUUUUAGUGUUUGCCAAUUUCUUUUCGCAUUUUAAUUAAUUCUAUUAUGCCUUUUAGCGAAUGAUUUUUAUUUCGGGAUGAAUUUAUCAGGACGUGACAAUUGCCCAUUUUACCACUCGUCCUGUACCCUCUCGAUUAUGCAAGAUUUGACCGAGGGGGUAAGACGUAACCACAGCGACCCGAUGCGCCUGGAAAUAAUGGCGCAGUUUCCUCGAGGCCAUCAGAAUAGCGUAAAGCAUCUUCUGGGCCUGUGGGUAUCGGGUCUUGGCGUCCCGGAGGGCCUCACUAACAAAGUAGACAGGCCGCUGCACCUUUCGGCGAGGCCGAUCUUCUUCGCUAGGGGCCGCACCCCCGGGGCGUUCUUCGUCCGAGUGGCCCCUCGGGGCGCACCCGUCUUCUGUGCCGAUGACCUCGGGGUCGGAAGACGACAGGAGCGGCCUUCCCACAGUGGCCUCGGGACCGUCCUGGGGGUUGGGGGCUCCUGGUGUCAUCGGACAAGCGGGCAAAGGGCCAACUCCGGUCGUCAGGGGCCUUAGGCCACCGUUCGGCUCGGGGGCCUCUUCUCCCUGCUCUCUCCCGGGUCGAAUCGGUACAGGGUUAGCCUCGGGGUCAGAGAGUGAUAGGUGCGGCCUCCCCGCAGUGGCCUCGGGGCCUUCCUGAGGGUCGGGGGCACCCGACACCGUCUGACAAGCGGGCGGAGGGCCGACUCCGGUCGUCGGGGGCCUUAGGCCACCGUUCGACUCGGGGGCCUCUCCUCCCUGCCUGCUCCCGGGCCAAGUCGGCACAGAGUGGGGGUGCGCAGAAUGAGGAUUGUCCUCAUCGCGCUCCACAACCAACGCUGCACUAACUACUUGGGGGGUCGCCGCUAAGUAAAGUAGCAGGGACUCAUUUGGCUCCGGGGCGACUAGAACCGGAGGAGAGCUAAGAUACGCCUUCAACUGGGCGAGGGCAUUUUCAGCUUCCUCCGUCCAAGUGAACGGCCCCGAGCGCUUGAGGAGCUUAAACAGGGGUAGCGCCUUCUCUCCCAGCCUUGAUAUGAAACGACUUAGGGCGGCCAUGCAACCGGUGACGCAUUGCACGUCCCUAAGUUUGCUGGGGGGGCGCAUCCGCUCGAUAGCUCGAAUCUUCUCGGGAUUGGCCUCAAUGCCUCGGGCAGAGACCAAGAACCCGAGAAGCUUACCCGCAGGUACACCAAACACACACUUAUCGGGGUUCAGUUUUAUGCGGGCGGAGCGGAGAUUCUCAAAAGUUUCCGCUAGAUCUGAAAGUAAGGUCUCUUGGUUGCGCGUUUUUACAACCAAGUCAUCGACAUACGCCUCAACAUUACGUCCUAUUUGACUACCCAAAGAAAUUCGAGUAGUACGCUGAAAAGUAGGACCUGCAUUCUUUAACCCGAAGGGCAUUGAUGUAUAACAAUAGGUUCCUACGGGGGUAAUGAACGCAGUUUUUUCCUCAUCCUCCCUAGCCAUGCGAAUCUGAUGGUAACCAGAGUAUGCAUCUAGAAAACACAAAAGGUCGCACCCCGCAGUGGAGUCGACGAUCUGAUCUAUGCGAGGCAGGGGGUAAGGAUCCUUAGGACAUGCCUUGUUAAGGUCGGUGUAGUCGAUGCACAUCCGAAGCUUGCCGUUCGCCUUGGGAACGACCACCGGGUUCGCCAGCCACUCCGGGUGGAUGACCUCACGAAUGAACCCGGCCUCCAAAAGUCUAGCCACCUCCUCGCGGAUGAAAGCUUGACGUUCCGGGGCUUGCCGCCGCACUUUCUGCCGGACCGGCCUUGCGCCCGGCCGCACAGCGAGACGGUGCUCAAUCACCUCCCUGGGGACCCCGGGCAUGUCCGCUGGUCUCCAUGCGAAGACGUCAGCGUUUGCCCGCAGGAAGGAGACGAGCGCGUCUUCCUAUUUGCCAUCCAGAAAACCACCGAUCCGUGUGGUCUUGGAUGGGCCGUCGCCCAAGGCAACCUCCUUGACCGGGACCUCGUCGCAAGUGGCCAUCCGCUGCCUCGGGGCGGUGGGGGCAGAAGGGCCAAGCCUCUCGUCACCACCCUCGGGCUUGGACGCAGCAGCGAGGCGGUCCGCGCGCUGCUCAAUGCAAGCAAGCGCGACUUUAAGGUCGCCACGGACAGAGAUGGGGCCACCGGGGCCCGGCAUCUUCAUCUGGAGGUAGGCGUAGUGGACCGCCGCCAUGAACUUCACCAACGCGGGUCUCCCCAGGACCGCGUUGUAGGGCAGACUGAGGUCCGCCACAUCGAAGCUCACCCGCUCCGUGCGGAAGUUGGCGGGUCCACCGAAGGUGACCGGUAGGUCAAUGUGACCUAAUGGCCACGUGUGCCCCGGCGUCACACCGAUGAUCGGUUGAGACGGCUGGAGCACCAUCCCCGGGGCCUUGAUAGCAUCAAAGGCCGCGGGGGAAAGGAUGUUGAGAGCCGCUCCUCCAUCUAUGAGGACACGUCCCAACUUCACGUUGCAGAUGGUGGGGGAAACCACCAUCGCAACCUGCCCUCCCCGGGCAAUGCACGGUGGGUGGUCAGUCUGGUCGAAAGUGAGAGCGACCUCCGACCACCGCGCCCGACGCAUCGCCUCAUGGGUAGGGGCCAUGGCCAGAAGCUCUCGCUUCAUGGCCUUGAAGCUCCGGCGAGAGACGUGAGCACACGCCCCUCCAUCGACGGUGGCAAUGGUGGCCCCAGGUUCUUGGAAACCUAGGUCAUCAUCACCAUCAUCAAUGUCAACAGCGGGGGCCUUCUGCUUGGCCUCACUUCGCCGUUUGCCGGAUGGGACCGCCGGGGACUUGCCCUCGCGGCGUUCCUGCCUCCUGUCCUCCUCCCACUUCCUCGUUCGCUCAGCCAAAUUUUUGACUGCGCGACAGUCCGCGAGAUGGUGGAGGGAGGUGUUGUGGACGGAGCACCACCUGCCGGCGGGGCGCUCCCUGCUGGGUGUACCAGCCCCGUUCUUUUUGUCGCUCGCAGGCCUCCCCUUUCGAGUGGCCCGCGGAGCGCCCUCGACGGCGAGGACAUGACCCUCGUCGCCGGAACGGUCCGGCCUCUUCUUCCUCCUCCUGUCACGCCGCCCUGUCUGAGCGGCGGAUCCGGGGGCGGCCGAAGCUGCCACUCCGGAACCGGAGGAGUUCCAGGUCCACGCUUCCUCCUUACGAGCCACUCGGUCCGCGAGCUGAAAAAGCUCCGCGGUAGUCUGGGGCUCUUUGGAAGCGAUCUUUUCGAGCAUGCGGUUGUGCCGCACGCCCCCCCUGAACGCGUAGAUCACCGCGUGUGCAGGGAUGCAUGGUAUAGUGUUGCGGACUUGGCAAAACCGCUGAAUGUACGAGCGAAGCGACUCAUCAUCGCCUCGCUGUACUGCAUGCAAGUCCGCUUCUUCGCCUGGGCGCGGAUAUGUGCCUUGGAAGUUCAUGGUGAACUGUUGGCACAAAUCUUCCCAGGAGUGGACCGACGCGGGUGGCAGAUUCAUUAGCCAACCCCGCGCCUGUCCUUUUAGGGCCAUGGGAAAGAAGUUCGCCAUGACUCUGUCGUCACCCCCAGCGGCCUCAAUCCCGGUCGUAUAGACCUGGAGAAACUCGGUGGGGUUGACACUCCCAUCAUACUUCUCGGUGAUGGUGGGCCGGAACCUUGGGGGCCAACGGACAUUCCGAAGACUCGCCACAAAGGCUCUACAGCCAACACCACCGGCCGGGGGCACGGAGGGCUGAUCUUCACGUCCAUGUCGGAGUGACACUCUGGACGAGGAGGCUCCCUCCGUUGCACGGGGAGUACGCCGGCUAUUACACCGACGCCCGAUGUUGAGGCGGGCAUCCGGCUCCCCAUGCUGAUCCUCCCGAGUCGACGGUGUAGACGAGGGAGUGGCAGCCGAAUGACGUGCAGCCGCCGCCGCUCGCCGCGCCCUCCGCCUUGAUGACACGGAGCCGGUGGUAGCGGCGCCGGAGGUCUUGGUGGUGGUGGCGGACCGUCCACCAGCACCCAGGCGCUGCUGUGCCGUCAUGACCAAGUUGGCCACGUCUUCCAGCCAUCGUUGGGCUGGAGACUCCGGGUCAUGGACGACAGGCGGGUGUCGUAGGAGCGCGCCAGCAGCUUGAAGCGCACCCUGAGGCGUGCUGCCGUCGCCGUAGACGAGGAGGCGACGCUCCCCGUCUCGCCGUUCUCCUGCAUCACCUGCGGCCGGUGACGCUGCGGACUUGUCGACCCUCUCAAGCGCCUCCCCCUGCUUAGGGCUUUGGCGCGGAGGAGGUGGAGGAGUACGAGCUCGACGGCGUGGAUUCGGCUCCCCGUCGUCGCCGCUCACACUCGGCGAGAGGUCGUGCGUUUUUCCUUGCUCGGCCAUUAGGUUGAACAAGAAAAACUUGGGGCACACGGAAGAGUCUGAGAGCUCUGAAAGCACACGCUGAGCCCCCUACCUGGCGCGCCAGAUGACGGAGCUGGUGGCUCCUCACCGGGGGACCGCGCAGGCCCCCCUUUGCCAGUUCGGCCGGGGGCUUAGGGUGAAAUCUCAAGCUCUCGCUCUCUCUCUGUAUGUGGAAAAAUCGUAUGCCAGCCAGAAAACACGAGACACCGACGAUCUAUACAGGUUCGGGCCGCUGAGAAGCGUAAUACCCUACUCCUGUGUUUUGGUGGAUCUGUGUAUGAAUGGGCUACAAGUGUGAGCUGACUUCUCCCCCGUUCUAAGCUCAUAAUCUGGGAAAGAAUCAACAAACCCCCCACUCUAUGGGCAAGGUCCUCCUUUUAUACUUCAAGGGGAUACCACACGCACCCUUCUCUUUCCAAACUGGACUGUUCUUUUUCUCUUGAAUGGGCGGAGAUCAGCACGGUUGCUGUCCGAAUGACGCUCCGAUGGGACAGCCCACACCUACCUCCACUUCCGCCGGGAGUGAGCGCGUCGUGGGAACAUGGCUGUGCGCUGACGAUAUGAUCAGUGUCAGACCGGUCACAAAUCGGUCAUUCUUGUCCACCGCGUGUAAUCUUGGCAACGUGCAUGUUUGCCCUUCUUCACUCAACAUCUCGCCUGUAAUGGUUAGGAUGAAGCCUGGCAUAUAUCGUCCGGGGCUAACGUGUCAUCUCUAAUAGAUAACGCGCUUAACUCCGGCUUGAGACGAGUGCCUAGAGGCUUUCGUCUUGACGGGACGGGGCAAGGCGUGCGUCAGACCGCCAGUCGCCACCUAACCCGUGAUCUGACCGGUCUGUGACUGGUCACAGACCGGAUAAAGGAACGCGCCAUACUGCGCUGCAUGCAGCGUGACACGCUUGACCAGACUGCAAUAAAUGCUGUUAGGUGAGCACAGCUGUGCUCACUUAUCCCAUAUACGUGGCGCAGACUUCCUAAAGGGGGUCGGGGUGCCCCGGCCCUCGGGGCCAGGGCAAGCGCAACCCGACCCCCCCUCGGGGGAAAUCAGGAGGAGGGCGGACACCUCACCCUCGGGCCCGACGUCCCCGAAGGUGCCAGGCCACGUGGGCGGUUGCGUCUGCCUCAAGCCUCUGGUCAUGAUACUCCCGGUCCCAUAUCACCGACAGAAUCCCACGUGACGGCUUGAGAAUAUUUAUAUGAAGUUUAAUGUAAUUUUAGUACAUUAAGAAUUUAAGAUAGGUCAGGGGAAAACUCAGGACGUUACACAGGACGAAUCCAAGCUGAUGGCCCACCUUCUAUUCCCUUCUUCUCAACACGACAUACGGCGUCUUCGAGCAGCAGGUGAUUCUGAUCGACUUGCAAUGCAAGAGCGCCGGCAAAAGUUGAAAAACAAUAAGCAUGUGUGUUCAUAUCUCGUUUUCUGUCGUGUAACUAGAUGUAUCGUCAAGAAGAAUCUAUAUAUAUAAGCAUUCUUUAAAUUGCAACAUAUAGAUUAGUAUUAUUGUCAACAGCUUCAGAUCAGUUUUAAAAUUGUACGUGUGAUUGCCCUACUUGCCGAUGGUACAUGUGCAUUUAUGGGCCGGCUAAUCAUGUGGAUUAUUCUGGUUUGUUUACUAGUGUAGUAUAUUACUAUUAUUCUCUGACAAUAGUAGUUCUAUAAGGUUGAUAUAAUAUAUUCCACCAACUCAGUAAUCAUAUGAAACUACAGUGAUUGAUAUUGAUGUUUCAUAUGAUUACAAUAUCAAACUAUAGCGGUUCCCUAAUCUUAAUUGUAGUAAACUUAGCCGCUAAAUCCAACGGCGUAAGCAUGUAUAUGAUAAAUGUAUACUAAACAUAAUUAAUAUAGAAGUGCAGUUGUAUCAUACUGUAUUAUUUAACAAAAGUAAUAUUUUAGUUUCACCUCGCGAAGUGAAAACAAAAAUAAUUUUUAUCUAUGAAAAAAAAUUAUUUUAUAUAAAGCAAAAAAAUAAUAUUUUUACCAUUAAAAACUGUAUAUAUCGCAUAUUUUGUUAUAGUAGUACGAAAUUUUUUAUAAGAUAAAUCUUGUUAUGCAAGAUAAAAAUUAUUUUUGUUAAAUAAUAUCUCAUAAAAUAAACUCAUAAAUAUAAUAGUCGCAUAUAAUAAAUUUAUACACUCCAUAAAUAUAGUUCAUAAAUUUAUAUUUUCUUGAUAGCAAAGGGUAAAAUGAACUUUAUGAUACGAAUUUAACGGUCAACUAACGGUUAACUGACGGAAGGGGUAUAGAAGGGAUCCAAGCUGAAAUUUAGGGGUAUGGAAGGAAAUGAGCAAAUCUCAGAGGUAUAGAAAGGAUUAGGCGAACUUUCAGGGGUACACGGGGAAUUUUCUCAAUAUAAAUACAAUACCCUUGGGAAUACUCAUGAGUAAAGUGCUACAUCGGUUUGCGAAUUUAUCCGUGAUCAUAAGAAAUACCAACAAGCGACGAGCGACGAAGGUGGCUCUCCUCGGUCUCUGCCGGCAUGUGCCCCCUCCUCGGCCUCCGCCGGUGCAUGCAUGACUGCCCUUGCCGAACUUGCUACCGAGCCAGUCGAGGUGAAGCAUGCGGCGGGUGAAGGUGAAGCCCGCAAUGAGAUGUGAAAGGCGGAAGGGCGGCGACAGAUGGUGGUGAUGAGAUCACAACGAUUGGAUCUAGCCCCCAGAGCGAGCUCGACAGUGGUGAAGCCACCGGGGGUGCCGGGGUGGGCAUGUCACCCCCAUCCUCAUGCGCUGCAAACCCCCCACCCCCGGGUGAUAAGCCAUCUAAUCCAUACAAUUAACUCAUUAAUUAGCUGCAAGUUGAGCCUAUACAUAACUGUCCAAUAGAUUUUAGCUUUACGUGAUUAUCUGAGUUAAUUAAUGUAACUAAGCAAUGUAGUUGCAAGUCUCCAAAACUAAAAAGGAUGAAUAGAAAUGAUGUCUUGUCAUUAAUGUAUUCAGUAAAGUUGGUGCUAUUUAGUUCCCUAAUUUUAAAAAAAUGAUUCUUUUAUGAUAUAUUAAUGUACAUUCGGACAUACACCCUCCAUCCUAAAAUGAGUUCAAUUUUUUACAUGAAUCUAGAAGAAUGUGUUGAAAUAUAUCCAAAGUCAUAUCAACAAUCAUUUUAUUUAUAUAUUAGUGCAAAAUAACCACAAAAUUCAAUACAAUUAUACGAGGGGCGACUCCGCAUAUUAGAGCGAAGAGGUGAGGCCAAUCUGCCCCUCUAUAGGAACUAAGCCACCAAGAUCCACACCAUUGUCUACCGAGGCACUUGUGAGUUCUUACAUCUCAUGGCCAGCACCCCUAUCACUAAAUCCUGGCUUCGCCACUGGAGCUCGACCUCUGCCCCGCUAAGAUCUGCCUCCAUUUUGCACCUCGGAUCUGUGCCUCGUUGGAUCCGCGUUGCCUCCUUUUGGCCGGCUUGGAGCUUCGGAGGAAGUGGUGCGGGGAUGUCGUUUGUGGUGGGGGCAACAAGCCAAGGACGUGGACCGUGCCACCUCCGAUUCGUUGCUCCUUCAGUCGGUCAUCGGCGGUUUGGUUGAGGGGAUUUGUCGCUACUCGGUUGCAACCUUUGCUGAGAGAGAGAGAGAGAGUAGGGGAGGGGAUGGCUUGAGGGAGAGAGAUAACAAGUGGUCCCAUGGAUUUUUUAUUCUAUUUUCUUUGCUGAUUGGAUUGCCACAUUGACGUCUCGUGUGCAAUCUCAAUCAAAACCACCCAAAACAAUGCUUAGGGGGUUAUUUGUCUGGUAUUAAUAGUUAAGGGCAAAAGAUAUAUAUUUUUUAAACGAGGGAUAAUUCAUACUCAUUGAAUAGUUCAGGGGUAAUUUGGAUUUUUUUUCUUUAAAAAUAUUUGGUCUAAUAAUAUAUUAUAGAAACAAUUCAUAAAAUCAUUGAACUCUAGUAGAUUCUCUCUCGUUACCACUUACUAGCUUUGUCCUUUGUUUAGCCCCAUCGUUCUCUCCCUUUCGUUGCAAAGGGUGUAUUUAGUGUUGAUUCGUAGGUAAGUUGUUGAUUUUAUCAGCUGAUGCCGGUUAGUUAGGGAAGGGAUAAAAUCCCACCGGUUUUCUUUUCCUAACAAGAGACAACUAAGUGAUAAAAUAUGUUUUGUUUGAUCGGUACAAAUGGAUUCGAAUUUAAUUAGAGAUAAAGCCCCUGAGCCCCACCAGUGUCGGUUUAUAAGGAAAAGGAGAGAGGCAUAUUGUUGGCAACUUUUUGUGACAAGUCAACAAGCACGAUUGCAGCACCUAAACACCUUGCGGUGAUACUAGAGUCGCCAACCACCCUAACCCAGUAAGCGCUAAGUCAAGAUGGGUUUUGAUAGAUUAAACUGGCUAGCGGAGCCGAUUUAGAUGAAACUAUGGAUAACUACCCAUCUUGUGAGCAAACAGAAGGUUUUAAGGACAAACCUACAAAGAGGUGUCGCACUCUCGCAGCAGCGGCGGACGAUUUACGGCGCAAAUCGAAAGGUGGACAAACUAAACUAGAACUAGAAAGCAAUAUUGAAAAAAGCGAUUCGAUUGAUUGAUUGUAGGAUACCUUACAAUUGAACAGGCCUUGUCCCUUAUAUAGGGGUUGGUCUUGCCCUCUAUAGGCCCUCCUCCACGUCCAACUCGGGGUAGAAACCAAAGGAAACCUGAAACAUACCUUCCCGAGCAAGGAAAACUCGAGACCCAACAAAACAGACUCAGACUCGGACUCUGUUGGUCAGACCGGCCACAUGCCGGCGGUCUAAUCGGAGUUCUGGCCGCAGCAGUCUGACCGGCCUAUACACGACGGUCAGGCUGGCCUUCUAGAGGAAAACACCGGUAGAUUCCAAACUUUGGCAAUUUUUCCUAUUUCAAUCCUAGGUGUCAAUUUUAGGUGUAAACACAUAUGUCACGGCCGAACUAUCUCUAACCCUAAAACCCUAUUUCAAUCAUCCAAUCUAUUCAGCACUGGAAGGGGUUCAUAAGGUAUCUCGCAAGAAGAAGAAACAGAGAAGAAAAAGAAAAAAAGAAGAAGAAAAUCGAAGGAUUAGAUCAUUGGAUUAAAUGGCUUCACAUCAAGGUCAGUGAAUCGAUUUAUUCUCCACAUAAGAAAGGUGAUUAUGCCUAGGCUAAGAACUCAAAUUAAUUAAGUGGAUUAAACUCCACAAGGUAUUCCUUGAUCCAGCAUACUCCAACAAGGUAAAUAAAUAAGGAGCUAAAAGUAAAACCUCGAUUUAUAUAGUUGAAUAUUGACGGAUUAAUUAAGAAAUGCUCAUGGGUAUGUCGAUCCACACAGUAAUCUUAUCGGCAGAUAACAACUCAGGAGCUUUCGGCCUUAUCUUUUCGCUUAUGCUUUACUUAUCAGCCAAAAUUUGAAUUUUCAAUCUUAAAUCUGAAGUUGAUUUUGAUUUUUUUUUAUCGAAGUUUAUUUUUCAGCAUUUGCUUUUAGAAUGCUAAAAACACGUAUAUAAAAGUUUUAUUCAUAAAUCAUUUUUCGUUUGCAAAUAUGCCGUUACGCUUAUGCUUAAAAUCAGCCAAGUGAUGGCUUCCUUUGUUUCUACUAGUUAAGAUUUACAAAUGUCGGUCCAAAGAAAUUGCGCUCGCAAUUCGCGUGUCUCUCCAUUUGUAAAAUCAACAACAGAGAGAUCGAGCAGCAGAUCGAUAUAUAUAUUCAGGUAACAUGCAUACGGCAAGCUAGGUCAACUUGCAGCUGCAGGACGUCAUUCCUUAAAGCUGGCGAGUUCUGUUCAUGUGAUUGCAUCAAAGAUUGUUGGGGAACAUAUAUAAUGUUGUUUAAUUAUGCAAAUCGCCUCGCAACAAAAACUGUUUGUUUAUGCAAAGCAUACUAAAGGGAUGCUCACUAGAUUAAUAACUGGCCAGGGCGGCACAUAGCUAGUUAUAUUAUCAUCCUAAUCCGAUGAUUCGAUCUGCGUUUAUUUGGUUCUUUAAGGUAGUGUUUGGUUUGGGGACCAAGUGGGAUGGGUUAGACCUAUCCCCUUUUUUUGGAUGGGAUGGUUCCAGUUGUGUGUUUGGUUUGUGGUAUAGGAUGGUUAUAGUUUUUUGUUUGGUAGAAGGGAUUGAGGUGGGAUGGGAUGGACAGUGUUUCACGGACCGUUAGAAUGGGGGACGGAGGAGCAGGUCGGCGCGAGCGAAGGAGAGGCAGCGCCGCAGCGGAGCCGAACGGGAGGCGGCGGGAGCUGACGACGAGCGGCGGCGGCCGGUCGCGGAGGCGGUCGCGGACGAGGCGGAGGCGGGCGCGGAGAUGAGGCGAGGAGCGGUCGAGCGGCGGCGGCCGGUCGCGGAUGAGGCGGCGGACGUGGCGGAGAGAGCAGGCGGGGGAGGGAUGAGUGGCCGUGGCGGAGCCGAGUGGGAGGCGGCGGGAGCUAACGACGAGCGGCGGCGGCCGGUCGCGGACGAGGUGGAGGUGGGCGCGGAGACGAGGCGAGGAGCGGUCGAGCGGCGGGGGCUGGUCGCGGAUGAGGCGGCGGACGCGGCGGAGAGAACAGGCGGAGGAGGACGGAGCGGCGCCGGGAGAGGGAGCAGGCGGAGGAGGGACGGGCGGCCGUGGCGGCGCCGCGGCGGAGCUGAGCGGGAGGCGGCGGGAGCUGACGACGAGCGGCGGCGGCCGGUCGCGGAGACAGUUGCGGAUGAGGCGGCGGCCGGUCGCGGACGCAGAGGAGGACGGAGCGGCGCCGGGGAAGGGAGCAGGCGGAGGAGGACGGAGCGGUGCCGGGGGAGGGAGCAGGAGGAGGAGGGACGGGCGGCCGUGGCGGCGCCGCGGCGGAGCCGAGCGGGAGCAGACGCCGUUUUCUCCGUCGAAGUGGGAUGGAUUGGUCCGGCCGAUUUUGGCGGACCGUUUCGUCCCGGAUCUGGGAGGAAUAUUCCUCUCCAGGGACCAUCCCAUCCCACUCACCUCUCAACCAAACACCCCUAAAAGUGGGUUCAUCCCAUCCCAUCCCAUCCCAUCCUCUCAACCAAACACUACCUAAGAUCUUGUUAUCUACUGGCUCAGAUAUCCUCACAUGCAUCGGCUGUACCAAAAGCUAAGCCUCUGCUGCAUGCAUGGUGUGAUCUUGAUUUUUAAUUAGUUCUUCCUCCAUUUCAUAUUAUUUCAUAUUAUAAGUCGUUUUACUUUUCCUAGUUAUGACUAACUUUCUUGAAAAUAUGUUAGUAUUUCCAACACAAAACAAACAUAUUAUGAAAAUAUAUUCAAUGUUAGAUUUAAUAGUACUAAUUUUAUAUUUUAGAUGUUGAACUUUUCUAUAAACUUGAUCAAACAAGUUUGAUUAGAAAAAAAAGAUAAACAUCUUAUUAUAUGAAACAGAGGGAGGAGUAAUUAGAUCUAUCUUAAUUUCCUUCUUUCACAACCCAUCGGAGCUUUGGAAGGCAAGCGAAAGCUUUAGCUGGCUCUAUUGUUGGCGAUUGAAAUGGCAGGUUAAUUAUGCUCCAUCUGCCAUAUCAUGUGGUGCUGGCUAGUGCCCUUUCAUUUUGCUACAGUGACACAGUACGAAUUCAGUAGCUUUUCCAUGGUUCAUCAUCGGAAAACGACGAGGGAACAGCUAUGUUUAUAGCAUCAUAUUUAAUAAUAUCAUUUUGUAAUAUAAAUUACCUACAUUUUUACAUACUUACUGUACUGCAAAUUAUACAUGAGAGAGAUCAAUCAAAUAGGGAAAAAAAUUUAGCAAUCCCGAAACAACAAUUACGGCUAUGAGUUUGUAGUAUCUUUUUGGAUGUGUAUAUGAGAGUAGUUGAUGUGGUUGACGAUGUACCACCAGUUGAAGAGCUAAUUGCUACUAGUAUCCUUUUCGCACACUACUCUAUGGCUGUGUUUAGAUUGGUCCAAAGUUCGGAAUUUGGUUGAAAUUGGAGACGAUAUGACUGAAAAGUUGUGUAUGUAUUAAAGAUUUGAUGUGAUGGAAAGUUGGAAAUUUGGAAAAAAAAAACUUUGGAAAUAAACACACCCUAUAACUUGAACACGAAUUUAAAUUAUUAUUUUCUCACGCCAUACUUGGCGGACAGUUCGAUCUUCUGUGAUUGGCCAGAAGUAUUACUUUUAUUUUUUUAUAACAAAACGAUUUAAAGAUUAAAAAGUUCCCCUCGUGCACCAUGACCCGGCAUCUCGACUGUUGGCCGGCACAUGAAAUAUGAAUGCAUCAUGUGCGACUGUGCAGUGCAGCUGCCUUUUGCCUUGUGGCGUCCCCAUUGCGUGGGUCACCUAAUCAGAAUGAACACGUCUUUUUGACUCUCUUUUUUACCUUCUAGAAAAAAAAAGGCCAGAAAAUUCGUUGAUCUUUUCCUCAUCAAAAUGCCACCAGCCGAUUUAAUACUCAUAACUAUAUACUAAUGAAAUAAUGAGUAUUUGGCGUAAACAUAGGGUUUCUUGAAACAUUUUACCCCAAAACCUGAGAUUCUCUAAGAUAAAUCAUAAAACCUGGGAUUUUAGUUUACAUGUUUCUCAAAACUUGGUUUCGUAAAAUUUACUAAAAUAUAUGACGAAGUUGAUUUAUUUACCAUGAUGUUUGAACAACGUUACUAAUAGUAAAUAUGUUCUACGUUUACUGAGGCAGUAGUAGUUUCCAAAAUAUGCCGUAAGAACUAGUGAAUCGGAUAAACCAGUACUCCUCGGGUAGCCCCAUUUGACUGUGAUUGUUAUCUUACGUGAGGUCCGUGUAGAUUAUUGUUUGAAGCACCCGUAAGAAGGUUCCAAAAACUGCUGCAGGUGGCGCCUCAUGUGAUUAGGACGUUCGACAACGCUAUGGUCCAUGAUGUAGCUGAGCGUUGCACAAAUGUGUAGAGUCACUGUGGUUUUUUCUCUCAUGUUCGUGUUAUAUAUUUUGUCUGUUCUAAAAUCUAAAAUAUAUCUAUUAAUUUAUAAUCCAAUUAGAUAUAUCCUAUAUUAUGAAUCUAGACAAGGGCAUUAAAAAUUUAGACAACCUCCUGUUUAGAUUCGUACUACCAAGAAUCCUCUAUGGGUCCUUGUGUACGUAGAUUCAUAGUGUUAUGAUAUAUCCAAUUCGGUUCUAUGUUGCUAUAUUUUGGAAUGGAGUGAGUAUUUAUGUAUAUUGUAUCAGUUCAAAAUAACUUUAUUUUUUACCAUCUUAUUUGCUCCAAAACAACGACUUUAUACAUGAAGCAAUCAUUGCAUUAGAGUUUAUGAAAAUGUGAGGGACAAAUGAAUUGAGACUAGAUAAAAUAAGACACAAUUGCAAUGAGAUUUAAUAAAAUGGAGUGUAUUCUAGUUUUUUUUUUUUUUGCUUUUGUAUUAGUAUGUGUGAGAUGAGUAAAAAAUAAAGUUAGUUUUGGAUGGAGGUAGUAAUUGCUUCUAGCCAAGGUUAACAUGGUAUGUAUAAGUUCAGCACAAUCAUCCAGAAAGAAUCUAUGGGUCUGUUUGGGGAGCUUAAGAUUGUAGUUCAUUUUCAGGAUUCCACAACUAUAGUUUUUUUUAGAACUUGAACGAAAAGCUACAUUGUUUCUAGGAAUUUCUGAUUGUGAAAAAUGCUCUCCUAAAUAGACCCUAUAUACCACAACUAGUUAGGAAUAUUUGACGUCUACACUGCUAUAAAUAGAGACAUCGAUAUAAAAUAUUCUUUGAUUGGAUGAAACAACUUAUAUAAAAAAGUUUGCCAAUAACAUAUCCCUUCCAAAAAAAAUCAACUUCUAAUAAUAAACCUAUAUUAGCAUUUGUUUAAAUUCAUCAUCAGAAGUUGGUUUUUGAGUAUGCACUUAACCCAACUCUAUUUAGGGUGUGUUUAGUUCACGCCAAAAUUAGAAGUUUGGUUGAAAUUGGAACGAUGUGACGGAAAAGUUGGAAGUUUGUGUGUGUAGGAAAGUUUUGAUGUGAUGGAAAAGUUGAAAGUUUGAAGAAAAAGUUUGGAACUAAGUAAGGGCUUAAGGCUUUUCUUGAAACAUACUCUAAUAGCGAUUUUAUAAUAUUUCAUACAACUAUUUCCAAACUACAAAAAACCAUCAAAAAUGUCUCCAAUCAUAGAAGAGGCCAGUAAAGAAUCACAUAGUAAACCUCAACCAGAUUUUUCACCUAAGGGGAAUUACACACGCACGUGCAGCCACUUCGCUCCUACUCCCUCUGUCCCACAAUAUAAGAGAUUUUGAAUUUUUGUUUGUAACGUUUGAUCACUCGUCUUAUUCAAUUUUUUUUUACAAAUAUAAAAAACGAAAAGUUGUGCUUAAAGUACUGUAGAUAAUAAAGUAAGUCACAAAUAAAAUAAAUAAUAAUUUCAAAAUGUGUUUGAAUAAGACGAGUGGUUAAACGUUGCUUGCAAUAACUCAAAAUCCCUUAUAUUAUGGGACGGAGGGAGUAUAUACUUAUGGAUGACCUAUGGGUUUUUUUUUCACAAUCUUACCUAUCCCUCCAAAAUAAAUAGAAAUUCAGUCCACCUCAUUUUAAACCCUGCUUUCAAAUUUUGUAGGCUAAAACAUUGAUCCUUUUCCCCGUAAAAAAAAUAUAUUGACCCCUUAACCAUAAGGCUAUACUACGGGCCAAUUUGAUAGAGUUCCAACUCCUAUUUAACUAUAGGAGUUGGGUCUAAGUUGAAUUUUGGAGCAUCCUAAGCUCAGGGCCUGUUGUGUACAGCUCUAGCUCCAUCACUCCUGGAGCUGGAGCUCAGCCAAAUAGUUUUAGCUCCACCUAAAAUGGGAGCAGAGCUGGGUGGAGCUUUCUCACAAAAUGAACUAGAGUGCCACAACUCCACUUCAGACCCAACUCUUGAAGCUAAAUUUAGAAUUUGGAGCUCUACUAAACAGGCCUUCAGCUCCAUCUCUCUAGUUCAUUUUUGUGAGAGCGCAUCAUCCGACUCCACUCUUAUUUUAGAUGGAGCUGAAACUAUUUGGUUAGUCCGAGCUGGAGCAAAACAUAAGCCACAGAAGAUCCCUCCUACCUCUCCAAACCAAACCAAAAAUAAUUCUCGCCCGCUAGCAAGUGGGCCCCACAUCUAAUCAUACAUGAUCCAUCCGUUCCCCUACUCCUAUUAAAGAGGAGGGGGUAAAGCCCUGGCUUUCCUCCCCCAACAACUCGGCCAAAUUCAAAGCAAAGCCGCCAUUACUGCUCCUCUUCCAUUCCACUGGGGACGUACGAGCUCCGCGCAUCCCUUCCAUUCCAUUACUGACCUUGGCUGCUGCGGCUGCAGUGCAGAGGGGGUUUGGUGGUGCGGUUGAUUUGAGCAAUAAAUUCUCUAGGGGGGAGGGAGGUAUCGGUCAUGGCUGCCGCUGCUGCAAGGAGGGGCUCAUCGCUGCUCUCUCGCUGCCUGCUGUCCAGGCCCGCCGCCGCCGCCUCGCCUGCUGUCCCCUCUGCGCUCCGCAGGGCAGGUAUAUUGAUUGAUUCAUCAUCCCCUGGACCCCUUGUUAAUUCCACCGUACUUUUUUUUGGUUGUACAGAAUCUUGGUUGGUACUAGAAGUAGGUAUUCGUGGCCAAGUUCAUGUGUUCUAGGAAAAAAAUAAAAAAAGUUCAUGUGUUAUUUGUGUUUCUUGGUGGGUAAAAUUAUUUUUUCCCCAAUGUUGUUGGGGGGUGUCUUGGAAUUAUUUUUCCCACCUUUGGUUGAUGCCACACCGUUGUAGGGCGGCUUCUGUUUGUCUCUUUUUGGGUGGUGGUGGGGUUUUGGAUCUUGGAGGGAUUGGCCGGACCUGACUGAUCUGAAUUCCAGGGUUGGUGUGUUGUUGUCACUAGUGCCACUGUUUAAUUAUUGGUUCAUGACAGGGCUUAAUUAUUGGGUGCUUAAAAACAUUAUCUCUUGCUGUAUGGGUGACUGCUCUGAUGGCAAGAUUCAAUUUGGUACUAGAACUCAACCAUGUUUGUAUGAAAAAAAAAUGGUAUUGUUGUAGUAGCUUGUAAUGAUUCUUGAAUUUGCUUUUUCACCCAGAAAUUCAGCCUCUAGAGUUGAUCUUUUAGAUCAGGUUGUGUCCUCAUCUUUUGGGAAAAUAUCCUUCAUUCAACGUUGCUGUCCUCCACUACUUUCUGUGUAGUAUACCUAUUUGUCAGCUAAUCUGGUUGUAGUGAGAAAUCCCUGCCUUAUCUUGACCCGGAAAAUAUGGGGUUUCUAGGAUUUUUGGCGUCAGAUAUGAGUCAUGAGCAUGAGCGGCAGAUUGGACCUUUCCUCUUUUCUUCGGUGGGCUGUGAUAUUUUCUUUCCUUGACAUGAUAGGAUACCAGUUUUUCUUCAGUCCUUAUCAGUGCCAUAGAAAAUCUUAGGUUUUUGGUUCCAAACCGUUCUUGUUUGCUAAUGUCACCAUAUAUACAGCGAAACCGAUGUGAAUUGCCUCGACUAUGAAAUGACAAGCAGAUACCAUAAAAAUUCAAAACACUAUUCUUUAUCUGAAAUUACUGAUUAGUACUAGUUUACUAGUUGCCGGGCAGCACAGUAACACUCCUGGACAUUAUUGAGUGGUCAUUCAGUCAAAAAGAAAGGGACAAGUUGUAAUCGGCUUUCUUAUCUGCGCUACACUGAGGCACAAUUUUAAACUCUUAUUUUUCCCAUCAUCCUUCAGGCC